rnacentral:lncRNA from 1 species
UAUGUUAUAAAGUUUCUCAAGGAAAAUGGACUGCUAGAUGGUGACCUGAGCUUCUUUACUGCGGUCAAGAUGACUGAGAAGGUAUUUAUGGAGAAACUCAUAUCCCCUCACAAGGAAGCUGCACCACACCUUGCUGAAGACUAUGCAACAGCUUGCAAAGGGGAAGUGCCAACUAAUUUCAUAUUUAGAUGGACCAGGAACAGGCUAUGAAAAUCCGUAACCUGUGUAUGGUGCAAGAAAUUUUUCACUCUGUGUAGUAAGUUGGUAACUCCUGCCUUGGUGUUUAGGCCUAACUGGAUGUUCACUAUCUUUUCCAGUGUGUUUGUUACUUGCCAGUUUGCUCAUUGCUAACUCUUGAUGUAACUAGUAAUAAAUUGAUUUCUGAACCCCGAUAUGCUGUUGUUGUCAUUCCUUAGAGAAGAUCCUUCAAAAUAUCAGUCUGGUCUGCUUUUAUGGCAAUUUUUAUCUAGCAUGUUCCCUUUUGAUUUCAUUGUAUUUUCAGUUGCAUCAUAUUUCAGUUAGUACUAAGUUUGUGGUUCAAUGUUCAGUAUUUGGAUUAUUCUUACAAAUAUUAUGACAGUUAGUACUAAAGUUUGUAGUUCAAUGUUAAGUAUUUACAUUAUGCUUAGAUAUAUAUAUUUCUAAUUGAUGUCGGUUCUUUUUUAACCUUUUGUUUUCUUCCUCCUUAUUCAUUCCUAAAUACCACAGUUGACCUUUCUUUAGUUUGGAAAUUCUCAAAUUUCUACAUAUGAAUCAGUCUUAUCAUUUGCACCCCUCAUUAAUUGUCAGAAUAAACCAAUUGAGGUGCCAUGUAUAACAAGCAAAUCCAAUGAAGUUUGAACUAACACUUGUUCUUGUGGACAUAUGAAGAAGAAAAGGCUAUGAGAUUUUCCCACUACAACCUACUGCUUGCACUGAGGGCAAACGUUUUUUUCUUCAUAUCUGUCUACAAUUCAGUGAAAUCGUAGAUUUAUGAAUAUAGUUUGCAACAAAAUUCAUCCCAGUUUUCUGCCUUGAAACGACACUGAGACCUUCGAUCUGUUGUCCAUCCUAACAUAAAAAGUUGCGAAUUGUUUUCUUUAGCAAGGACUAAGAUUUCAGAGUUGCUCGACUAGUACUUGUCUUGCAACCAAAUUAGUGUCGCAACAUGUCCACGAGUCAGUGCCCUGGGCACUUGGAAUCCUUGGUGUUUAGUGAUGUAUGUAUCUGUUCUGAUGGUGUUUAAUGAGAAGCAGGGAUAACUCACCGUGCUACUCUUACCAUGACAUUAUAUGCAAACAUUUUUCCUGUUGAAACACGUGAAAGAUCACAACCAUAUCGAUCUGAAAAAGAAGAGAAAAAAAUGGGAAAUAGUAUAUAUUCAGUAAAAACAAAAUAUUAGUUCAUGAAUUAGUAAAGGUUAUACCUCGGUGAUGAAGUGCACAUCAGCACGGUGACUCCAACUCGCUUGUCAGCCAUUGGAUGUAGUGCGCCUCUGUUCUUUUGCUUGUGCAGAGCGUCAGCAGAUCUGGGCUGCUAUUGCAAUUUUUUGUUCUGCGCAGUGACUUGAACUGAGGUGAGUUAACUUGCUUUUCCUGAAUUUCAUGAUCCNNNNNNNNNNNNNNNNNNNNNNNNNNNNNNNNNNNNNNNNNNNNNNNNNNNNNNNNNNNNNNNNNNNNNNNNNNNNNNNNNNNNNNNNNNNNNNNNNNNNNNNNNNNNNNNNNNNNNNNNNNNNNNNNNNNNNNNNNNNNNNNNNNNNNNNNNNNNNNNNNNNNNNNNNNNNNNNNNNNNNNNNNNNNNNNNNNNNNNNNNNNNNNNNNNNNNNNNNNNNNNNNNNNNNNNNNNNNNNNNNNNNNNNNNNNNNNNNNNNNNNNNNNNNNNNNNNNNNNNNNNNNNNNNNNNNNNNNNNNNNNNNNNNNNNNNNNNNNNNNNNNNNNNNNNNNNNNNNNNNNNNNNNNNNNNNNNNNNNNNNNNNNNNNNNNNNNNNCACUAGGAGGGAUGUACAUGCUUGUGUUGGUCAGUGCUUUAUAUUUACGUGGGGACAAAUGCAUUGGAUAUUUUGUUCAAAUAGGAGGGAUAUAUCUAAUCAUAUUGCCAUUUUCUUGCUGUUUUAGUUGCUGCCACAGUGAAGUCGCUGCAUAGGUAAUGGUCACAUCAGAUUUGAAGAGGAUAGUUUUUCUAUUUGCAUGAUCUUACUUGGAUGUAGUAGAUGUGAAGCUCAGCUCUAGCGUACACUCUGCUGUCGGUAUUUAGAAAAAUGUAAUACCUAUUUCCUAAGAUGCACCGCCCUGAACAUUUUUAGGAGAAUGGCUGCUGUUGAUAAAACCCCAAGAUGAUAGGUGCACUGUUCUGGAUUUUUAGGAUAUCAGCUAUCCUAUGUAUCUUUGAGUUGCUAAUUUCAAAUUAAUAGAAUUCAACAUCUUUAUCCCCAUUUGCAUUCUUGUUCGAGUUGCGUCUGAUUAACCAUGUGUUCCACUUAUGUAAUCAUAUCCGGUCCCUGCUCUCUGUUUCUGUAUCCAUGUGCUCCACCACAAUGGUAACCAUCAGGCCUCGCCGGCAAAUCUUGAGCGUUGUCAAUGGUUUUUGUUCUGAUUGGAGACGAGUGAUAAGGAUUGUGACGACGGGAGUUUUUGGCAGGAAAUUUGCUUGGAUCUCUGGCAACACGAUCCAUAAAUUGAUUGACUCUGCCCAACUUGAGCUGCUGUGCUGUGUUUGUGAAUCACGGACGAUGGAAAAUAGAAGAUGACGGGUGUGGUGAAGAAUUCGAAGGGAUCUCUGAAGCACAGGUCUGAGUUCCUGUUCUCUAAGGUGGGGGUGGAACCCGUGUACAUUGCUUAUCGAUCGGAAAUACUUUCUUAUAGCAUGGUGGACCGACUCAGACCUGGGAACUAUGUUAUCAAGUUUCUCAAUCAAAAUGGACUGCUAGAUCGUGACUUGAGCUUAUAUUCUGCAGUCAAGAUGACUGAGAAGGUAUUUGUGGAGAAGCUCAUAUGUCCUCACAAGGAAGCCGCACCACACCUCGCUGAAGAUUAUGCAGCAGCUUGCAAAGGGGAAGUACCAACUAAUUUCAGAUUUACAUGAACAAAGAAGGGCUAUGGAAAUUGGUUACAGCCUAUGGCACAACAAAGUUAUCACCCUGUCUGUAAGCUGGUACUUCCUGUUUCGGUGUUCUUUCCCUAAGAUGAUGUUGGUUGUUUACUGUAGUAUGCCUGUUACAUGCUAGUUAGUCAUUGCUAAGUGCUAACUCCUUAUGAAACUGAAAAUUUGAUUCCUGAACCCCCAUAUGUUGAUGUUGUCAUUUCUUAGAGAAGAUCUCUGUAAAUGAGAAGUCCAUGGAUAUAUAUUUGAUUCCGACUUCCAUUGAAGAUGAUGCAAAUUGGAUGCGUGGGUGGAUCAAUUUUGUAUUGAAACCACUACCCACGAAACCAGAAAGCAAAAGAGUAAUGAUGUGUUGUUUUCCACCGAAAUGUAUCACCCUGCUGUCCGGAUUCAUAAUUUUUUCUUAAAAAAGUUUUACUUGAGCAAAAUUAAUGGUUAAGAUGCUAGAUUUUUUCGCUGGUAUUAGACUUGUGUUUUACUCAUAAGUUCCAGCUAACUAUCUCGAAUAAAGGAAGACUGACCUAAUUAGACUGACCUAAUUAGUCGCCAAAGACCCGCGGCUCCUAUGCGCCAAAGUGGACAAAACCCUGGCCCCCGUCGUCGCCGGGCUCACCGGCCUCGGCCUGUCUAGUCCUGAGAUUGGCCAACUGGUCUCGCUUGCCCGCACCCGCUUUCGCUGCAGAGCCGUCGUCUCCAGGCUGCAGUACUACCUGCCACUCUUCGGCUCAUUCGACAACUUACUCCGGCUGCUCAAGCGCGAAUCCAACCUUCUCUCGAUCGACCUUGACAAGGUGGUCAAGCCCAAUGUCGUGUUCCUGAGGGAGUGCGGGCUAGGUGAUUGUGAUAUUGCCAAGCUGAGUAUCCGUGUGCCUAGGAUGCUCAUCACCAACCCGGAGCGCGUCCGGGCGAUGGUCGCACGUGCCGAAACAUUAGGUGUGCCCCGCUGCUCUGGGAUGCUCAGGGAAGUGCUACAGGCUGUCGCGUUUCUCAGCAAGGAGAAGAUUGCCGCCAAAGUGGACUACUUGAAGAAUACCUUCAGGUGGUCUGAUGCCGAAGCUUGCAUUGCUGUGCGCAAGUAUCCGAGUGUGUUGAAGAAGUCAAAGGAAUCUCUGAAGCGCAGGUCUGAGUUCCUGAUCUCUGAGGUGGGGCUGGAACCUGUGUCCAUUGCUCAUCGACCAGUAGUUCUCAGUCUUAGCCUGGAGGGCCGGCUCAGACCCCGGUACUAUGUUAUAAAGUUUCUCAAGGAAAAUGGACUGCUAGAUCGUGACCCGAGCUUCUUUACUGCGGUCAAUAUCUCUGAGAAGGUAUUUAUGGAGAAAAUCAUAUCCCCUCACAAGGAAGCUGCACCACACCUUGCUGAAGACUAUGCAACAGCUUGCAAAGGAGAAGUGCCAACUAAUUUCAGAUUCAUGUGAACAAAAAAAUGGCUAUGGAAAUUGGUUACAGUGUAUUGCGCAACAAAGUUAUCACCCUGUAAGCUUGUACUUUGUGUUUCGGUGUUCUUUGCAUAACAUGCUGUUGCCUGUUGCUAAAUGCUAACUCCCUAUGAAACUGGUAAUUUGAUUCCUGAACCUCUAUUUGUUGAUGUUGUCAUUCCUUAGAGAAGAUCUCUGUAAAUGAGAAGUUCCUGGAUAUAUUUGUGUUUCCAACUUCCAUGAAAGAUCAUGAAAAUUGGAUGUGGUGGCUGAACCAAUUUUAUGAUGAACCCAGCAUUCACGAAACCAGAAACGAAAUGAGUAAUGUGGUGUCGUUUCCCAUGAAAAUGUAUCAGUAUGAUCUGCUUCCAUGCCAAAAUUUAUUUACCAUGCAUGUUCAUUCACAUUUCUUUGUCUUUUAGGUUCCACCGUAUAUGUCAAUGAGUACUAACAUUGUUUUCUAUUUAGGUUAGACUUACAGACACCAAGACCUUCUACUGGUUGUCCAUUCUAUAACCUAAAGAGUGGCAAAUUAUUGUGAUUUGUGAUGUAUAUGUGUUCUGGCUGUGUUCAUUGAGCAACAGGGGUAACAAUCCCAGCUGCUGUUUCCAUGCCAUUAUAUACAAACAUUUUUCCUGUUUGAACUCAUGAAAGAUCACAGUCAUUUAGAUCUGAAAAAGAAGAGAAAAUUGCAUCAACUACUUGUAUUGUUUAAAAGCUGCAAACUGCAGCUGAUGACCGACAAGAUGAGAAAUAGUAUAUAUUCAGUGAACACAGAGUAUAUACCUAGGUGAUGAAUAGUAUAAAUUCAGAUAAGAUGGGCAUCAGUACGAAAAAAUCACCCUGCUGUUAAGAUUCAUAAACUUUUCUUAAAAGAGUUUUACUUGAGCAAAAUUAUUAGUUAAGAUAGCUUGAUACUCCCUCUGUCCCAAAUAAGUGUCUCUAAAGUUGAGACACUUAUUUUGGGACAGAGGGAGUAUUUUUAACGGGGAUCAGAAUCAUGUUUAUGCAGAAGUUACAACUAACUAUCUCUCAAGUAAAAGAAAAACAAGUUAGUCUGAUUUAAAUUUUUUGUUGCACUGAAGCAUAAUAUGGUGAUUCUGAAUUACCACAUUAAGCAUGAGUAUAUUUUUCUGACUUUGAAAUGAUGGAUGCUGCAAGUGGUUUGAGGUUUCUAAUGAUCAGUUCAGACUAUUAAACAUUAGUUUCUGUUUGAAGAAGUGGGUGUUUCGAUUGAUGCGUCAGGUCAAAAUUGCAUAUGUGAUUUUGGUUAGCAUUGCAAUGACCACUUUUCUUGGAACACAAAAGUAAGUUAUUAUUAUAUACUAGCACCCCACGAUUCUGUUGUAUAUAAAUUCAGUUUUGUGUUCUGGUUACACAUUUGUUUAGGUACAGACCUGUCCCUCUGCCUGGUGCUAUUAGGUGUGCCCUUUCAGAAACCAGCAUUGUGUUGCACAGCUGUUUAUGUUUGUAUAGUUUAUAACUUCCAGUUACAAAGAUUUAAGUAUCUACAUGUUGCAAAAGAAAAGAGUAUCCACAUCCAGUAGUAUCUAACAUUUAAAUUCAGUUCUUUCUCCAUACUGAUUCACAUCCAGUAUUCAGCUUGUUUCUUACAGCUAGUUCUGCUUUAGUUAUCAACCCCAUCCCUUGGAAGAAAGAAGGUAGCACCAAAGAUUGCAGUUAAUAACUUAAAAUUGUAUCUUCAGUUCACUCUGUUCACUUAAUAUUUCUGUCACGGCUACUACAAACUUCGACCAUGGUAUGUUAUAUGAAAUUAAAAAAAUGGAAACUAUGAAAGAAUGUUGCAAAAGUUUUUUGACGAGCGAUUGCAUGCUCCCUCAGCGGAAGCAGCAAAGCUCGGGGCAUUCUAAGGCAUCAUCACCUGGCACAUUGGCACUGAUGUUUUCCUUGCCAGAAGCAGUUGAGCCAAGGUGGAUGAUGCAGCCCAGGAACAAGUGGUGAAGACCAUUCAUUGAGCGGCCCUAUGCUACCUGGCCGGGCCUCCUUAUGACAAAAAGAUUACUGGAUCUGGCACAUGAUUGCUUCCCCUUGCGCAGUAGUUCGAUUUAUGGUUAAGGUAGCUUGACUUUUUUUCACUGGGAUUAGACUCAUUUUUACUCAGAAGUUCCAGCUAACUAUCUCUCAAGUAAAAGAAAAAAGAACCUUAUUAGUCUGAUCUAAUUUUGCUGCUGCACUGAAGCCUAAUACGGUGACGCUGAAUUACCAUAUUUUCCUUACUUUGGAAGGAUGGACGACUGCAGAUGGGUUGAGUUUUGUAAUGUUCAGUUCUGACUAUUAAAUAUUCAUUUUUGACUGAAGAAGUAGGUGUUUCGAUUGAUGUGUCAUAUAUAUAUAUAUAUAUAUAUAUAUAUAUAUAUAUAUAUAUGAUUAAGGUGAGUGGUGUGUUUCUCAGGUUUACAUUGCAAUGACCACUGUUCCUAGAAACACGAACUGAAUUUAUGAUUAUACACUAGGCCCGUGUGAUUCAGUUUUAUAUAAAUUCAGUUUCUGUUUUGGUACACAUUUCUUUCGGCGCAGACCUGUCCCUCUGUCUGGUUAGUAUGAGGUGCGCCCUUUCAGAAACCAGCAUUGUAUUGUGCCACAACUGUUUAUGUUUAUAUAGUGUUUCUAACUUCCAGCUACAAUGAUUUAAGUAUUCACAUGUUGCAAAAGAAAAGAUUAUCCACGUCCAGUAUCUGACAUAUAAAUUCAGUUCUUUUCUCCACCCUGAUUCAUAUCCAGUAAUCAGCUUGUUUCUUACAGCUAGCUCUGCUUUAGCUAUAUUUUAUUGCAGUUAAUAAUGCAUCUACAGUCCCUUCUAUGUUAUAUGAAACAAAAACAUGGAUAAUGUGAAAACAUGUUUCAUGACAAAUUUAGUGAGCAAUUGCAGGUCUUAGCAAAAGCAGAACCCAAGCGAUGAAAACCGAAGGAUAAAGAAGUUCGGAAGGGGAGGAAACCACAGCCCAGGAGGAGAACCCAAACUCAUAGAAAUAGAGCUAGCCAUAUUCUGAGGGCUCAGAGGGCUCUGUCCCGGCUGGUGUCAUUGAACGCCUGGUACCUAGCCAGAUUCCUUGCCUCCUCCACCGGUGUCGGUCCGAUGCGCCACCCCAUCUUGGGCACGAGGAGGGUCACCGCCGACAACCUUGCCACCGCGGAGUUGGUGACCAUAUCCACAUGGUGAUCGACCCUUGCCAGCACUCUACUGCUAUUGGUGAUAAGCUCCAUGACUCCAUCUGGUGCCGAAGUUGAUGACAGACACAUCGGGUAUUGCGGGACGAUGAGCCACCUUCUAUCAUGCGAUGUCACCCUGGCAUUGGGAGAGCAUGGUGACGAGGUGGCGGUCGUAGCGUGGGAAGAAGCCAAGCGUGGCGGUUGGGGUCUGAGCAUGGAGGGUCACCCCCAACGGUGGUGAGCCAGAGCGGUGUCUGACAAAAACAAAGUGCGUGAGUGUACCUGUAAGAAGCCGAACUCCAUGCCAGCCUGGAUAACAUGGCUGAAUGGUCUCAUCUAAUUAUGUUUCUCCAAAUCAUGGUUGAACGAAUUAUGUGUUGUCAAUUCUAUUUUUUUCCCAUGUUCAGAUUCAAGGAGUGAUUUGGGAAGUAUCAGUAUUCAGUGAUGGGCAUCUUCAGAUACGUGGACAUGGGCAGUGAGCUCAUGCUCUCCUUCCACUAAGAAAGGCAUGUAGCCUCAAGCUCGGCUUACUCUUUGAUUUUUUUUUUUGUGAGAACUGCUCCUCUUUCAACCUGGUGGAUUUGAUAUUUGUUACUCCCUCCGUUCCAAAAUAUAGGAGAUAUAGUUUUUGGCACGGAAAUUAAAGAACAUAUGUGGAGGGAAAAUUUCACAAGUUUUGGGCGAGAUUGCACCUAACUAAUUAACAUGAGAAAAUAGAGGAGCUUGCAUAAUAUCAGGAAAUGUAAUCAAAUCCCUAAAAAAAUUAUCCAAACGAGAGUGGUGGAACGCAAUACACCUUAUAUUUCAGAUUUUUUUUUUCAAAAAUCUAUACACCUUAUAUCAAGGAACGGAGGGAGUAUAAAAAAUCCAUGUACUGUUUUGCUUCUUCCAUAUACUGAUACUUCCCAAAUCACUCCAGCCUUAACUUAAAUAAACAUAAUUUAGUGUCGAAAUUUGAAGCCAAGCUCCAGCCUACUGAAAUGGUAGUGAGAUUCACUGAUCCUUCACAUACCAUGCAUAUUUCUUGGUUUCUUAAAAAAAUAGCAUUCUGUAUAAGCUAAUACUGAUGGACAAAUUUUUAUUGGAUCAGUGACUUGAUUGCUUUUAUUUAGGUCCGAGCCUCCUUGUGUAGUAGAGCGUUACAGCUAUUUAGACACAGGUUUUUUUUUUUGAGUUGUAAUGCCUAAGAUGCAUACUGCCUGAAUCCUUUUAGGACAAUGGCUGCUGUUGGUAUUUCUAGUGCCUACUACAAAAUCAUACACACACAGUUGUGAGUUUUUUUUCAUGAUAUCAGCUGUUGUCUAUAUCUUUUUAGUGGCUGUUUUCAAAUGGAAAAUCAAGGUUGUUGUAUGCUCAUAAGCAGCCUGCAGGUACUAAUUAAUCCCCUUUUUUUUCCUCUGCCUGAGAAGUUAAGAUGAUUUUUUUUGAACUUUGAAUUGGGAGCUAUGUACGUCCCCACGGAUCCUUCUCGUCUUCCACGUGAUUCGAGUCGCCUCUCUCCGUCAGGUACGAACUCGAUCCGCCUCCCCGCAGGAUGAUUCUCUGUUGAUUUCUUUUCCUGUCGCGUCGAUCCGGGCGGAUCUGGGACGGAAUCAGCCGCACCUGAUGCUUGGUCGUUUCAUCGAUUUGAUCCUGUUCGCCCCCGCUCUGUUUGCUUGAUGAUCCAUUCGAUUGGGGAUAAGCAAAGGGGUUCGGGGAUUGAUGAUUUGUUGGGAAGUUAGCCUCUGCUGCUGCAUCUUAGUUGAUCUGAUCUGGAUUUGCAGUUUGAGGUAGGGGUCCAUAAUGUGCGGGCAUCUAGCGAGCUUGUAAGCUUAUGUAGAACUGCUUGGGUAGAUCCAACUAUUCUGUGGUAGUUGCUGGUAUGUAUGGUAAAUUAACCCGAUUAGCUUGCUGUGUAUGAAUAUUUAAGCCGCUUUCUUUCAAUCUGUUCGUUCUGAGCUUUGCAUCACUGGUGUGUGUUCCUUCCAGAUCCUGCACGGACCUCCUCCCUGUCAGGCCCCUCUUGCCGCCCGUCGACACGACCUUCGAUCUUGUUGUGUUGAUCAUGGGUAAGUGGCAAUGCAUUAUAAUGUUGUCAUUGGAUUUCUCUUUUGGGCUUUUAUUUAUCUUUUGAUGUACAAUGUCUACAACUACCCAAAAAAUUAAGCUAUGUGUGACGUGAUUCAGAACUAAGCAUGGUCUAAUGUUUUUAGGGCAAUGACAGGGACCAUUCCAUUUGAAGAGGCUCAUGCUGCCCGGAUUUCGUUAAGCAAGCCAUCUAUGUCCCAAAGUUGAGGACCGUUUGGAGAAGAGGCCACCCAGGUAACCUUAUCCAAGCUCAAACAUUAAUUUAAUCACUAUUUAGUUGUUGUACUUGCGUUCCUAGAUGGAUCUUUUGAGAUUCCACAACUUUGAUAUUCUUACUUGGGAUCAUUUGAUAUGUGCCGUUGAAAAUAACAGAACGGAUCGUUCCUAGAUGAAUUCUUAGCUGAUUUCACUGGGCUUUCUCCCUUUACGCCAAUAUGAAAUAUAUUAGCUGCAGUAUAUAGUCUAGGUUCAUUUUAAUGCGACUAAAUAAGAUAAAAAUACUACCUGCUUAUACCACUCGAGUAUCCACCGUUAGGACGUUAUGUUCCCUGCGACCACAACAUAACCUUUUUGACUUAUUAUCCCUAAAAAAAGCUGACUCUUUUUCACAAGCUGAAAAGACAAUCUGAUCUGCUACAUUUGGUCUGAAAUUUUCUUCUUGUGUGUCCACAUGAUAAAGAGGAUGCCUUUGAUCAAUUGUAAACCACUUAUUUUUCUAGGAUAUAUAGAUUUCUUGAAUUACCCACAAUAUACUUUUAUGUCAUCUAAUAUAUGUCUCCCAGACAAUUUAAACAGAUGCCAAGGAUAUGAUUAGGCGCACAUAUACAAGUAUCUUUAUGACGACACCUGCACCAGUUUUCAUCGUUGUUGUUCUUGCCUGUUGCCUCCCCCCNNNNNNNNNNNNNNNNNNNNNNNNNNNNNNNNNNNNNNNNNNNNNNNNNNNNNNNNNNNNNNNNNNNNNNNNNNNNNNNNNNNNNNNNNNNNNNNNNNNNNNNNNNNNNNNNNNNNNNNNNNNNNNNNNNNNNNNNNNNNNNNNNNNNNNNNNNNNNNNNNNNNNNNNNNNNNNNNNNNNNNNNNNNNNNNNNNNNNNNNNNNNNNNNNNNNNNNNNNNNNNNNNNNNNNNNNNNNNNNNNNNNNNNNNNNNNNNNNNNNNNNNNNNNNNNNNNNNNNNNNNNAGAGACCCCUCUCCUUUCCUUCCAGUUUGUUGGGUUUUGCUUUGUGCCAUCAUUUGAGUGGUCGAUAGGCGCAGAAAGAAAGGGAGGACAGAGUACUUCUCUCCUAAGUUAGUUUUAUAUUUAUUUGUCUGAAUUUUAGUUUAAAUAACACGACACCCAAUGGCAUACAUGACAAUUUCAACUGUUUUUGGGGGCAAAUGACAAUUAUAGUAAAUUAAAAUGACCCCAUUAGUCAUAUCUAUUAUCUCUUUAUGGGUUUAUAUUUCUACGUACUGCCACAAAAAUAUUAAUUGUUUUGCAUAUAUCGGUUGAGUUUAAUUCAGCUUUAGGAAUCAGGACACCCUCGCUCGGUUGGCUCCCACGAGCCGACGAGUGAUUCACAGCUGCGCCGCCGCCCACCUUUGCCCCUCGCCGCGCGCGACGGGGCUUCCGCCUUGUCCGGCAAGCGGCAUCUCAGGACUUGGCCACUAGGUGCGCCUGCGCUUCCUCCUCGCCUGACAGGUGGCGUUCAGGGAUGUGGCCACUGGGUAGGCUGUGAUGCUGGCGUGGUGGUUGCAUGGCAGCGGGGCUGGGCGUGGUCGUCUGAUUCUUGUGGUGGGAGGUUUCGAUGGCUCCUUAAAUCUAGCGUGACAGCGGCCAUGAGCAGUGCGAGCGGUGGGUCCUCUCAUCAUUCGCGUGGGGAUGGUUGCGGGAUCACAGUGGCUCUGUCGGCGGUUAGCGUUCGUCAUUCGGGUGGGGAUGGAGGUGGCGUCCUCCCUUCUCCUGGGUCUGAGCCGGCAGCGCACGGGCUGCACGCGCAGCAACGGUGGACAGCCACCUAGGCAUUUGAAACUGCAGAAAUGAGAUGAUAUUUUUCAGUGAUUUAUUACUCCUUCAUUUGCCCUGAAUUAUACCGUUGGUUUGUCACAAGUCUUCCCUUCCAUCCCUUCUUCCACAGAUUGCAGGUUUCAUCCUGAACAUCCUAAUGAGCAAAUCACAAGACGGCUGAAUGAUCUCAUCUAAUUAUAUUUUUCCAAAUCAUGGUUGAACGAAUUAUGUGUUGCCAGUCCCAUUUUUUCCCAUGAUUUGGGGUAUCGGUGUUAGUGUUCAGUGAUGAGCCACUGCAGUUGUAUUGCACCCAUUCCAUCUCCAGAUACGUGUACAUGAGCCAGCGAAGUGAGAUCAUGCUCUCCGUCCACUAAGAAGGGCAUGUAGCCUCAAACUCGGCUUACUCUUUGAUUGUUUUUUUUUCCUUAGGAUUGCUCCUCCUUUUACCUGCUGGAUUAGUAAGAAAUCCAGGUAUUUUAACAGGAUUUAAUUUUUCUUCUUUUAUUUAUUGGUUAAUUUUUAUUGGUAUAUUCAUAGCAGAAGUAGCCAAGAUGGCCAAUACAACGCCUUUCGGUGAAGUGCUACACCAAGAAGUUAACACUCACCUCCACCAAGACAACACCGGACACAACUCGCCUGCACGAACUCAAGCCAAACAAUGACGAAGAGAACGAACACAGAGCACACAAGCCGAGUCCCAACCGAACCGAGCAUCUCACGGCACGACAAAAACACCAAAGCAAACUGGAUCAAUGCACUCUCCACUCAUGGCGCCUAGGAGGUUGGCAGGCGGACAGCAGGAGCUAGCCUAGCUCGAUGAAGACGCCAUAGAUGAGGCGUCGAUGAUGAAGUACAUAGCACCCCGUAUGCUCAUGGCAGUAGCAACAACCAACCCAAGACAAACCCCAAGCCUCACCGUCACCUACACCAGUUACUCCUCCAGAAGACAUCCCUGAUCACCCAGGCAACACCUUCAAGAAGGGGACGACGCCGUGACGUCGCCACUGCCUAGCCCGACGAAAAUCAUCAAUGCAGUUUUCCAUAUCAUAGGACAUCUCUCUCAUGUGGUUCCUCCAAUUCUUGGCUGUGGGAUCGAGCUUAUCCAUGAGCUCCAUCUUGUCAAGCAGAGCUUUCAUGGCGUUGAGCUCAUCCCUGAGGAAGGAGGCCUGCUUCUUCACCGGCGUGAGCUGCUUGUACUCCUCGCCAAGCGGCUUGGUGAGUUCCCCGAGCAGAGGGCUCAACACUCCCGUUGUUUCACUCAUUGCCAUGUUGGUUUGUAGUUUGUACUGCUCCUUUGCCUCCGGCGCCUCUUUGGAACGAGAGAGAUGAAGUGGGUGGGCUAGCCGAGAAACUCGACACAGGAGGCUCACGCCAGCCGCUAUUGUCGUAGCCUCCCAGAAACUUCCCUCCAGAAUUCCUCGUCACCAAACCUGGAGAGCAAGGUGAGGUCGACGCGACCGUGACGUUCCUGGCUGCCGGCGCCGUCGUUGCGGGCAGGGGAGAGAUGGAGAAGAGGCUCGGAAGAGAGGGAAGGGAAGGCUCGUUGGUGCGGUGUACUGUUGGGUGGGGGUGGGUUUGGGCGGAGAGAAGCUCAGCAGAGACUGAACGGGAGAAUGGGAUUGAGACAGACGGGGAGAAGGACUUAGAUGAACAGCAAAAUCCAAAAAAAUAGUAAACUAACUCAAAAAAUUCUGAUUUUUCUGUCAACAAACAUUGACGAUUUUUCUACACACAUGCAAAUUUUCGAUUGGAAUCACAUUUGUGGAUGCGUCAGCAAAAGAAACAAAAUCAAUGCUUCCAAAAAACAUUUUUUUAGCAUCAAUUUUAAUUUUUUUACGGCACCUCCACAAAUUUGAUUUCAUCAUGAAAAUUUACACGCAUAUAGAAAAACGUCAAUAUUUAUUAACAAAAAAAUUCAGAUUUUUUUAAGUCGAAUUAUACUGUUCACCCAGGAGCAUGUGAGCUCGAGCUCACAUACUACAUGUUGGGUAUUUUUGCAAAUAUAAGGCGAUUCCAUUUCAACUCAUUGAGAGUAGAGAGCCGUGCGUGUAACAGUGAGUGUGAGAUUUUUCCUUAGAGCAACUCUAAUGCGCCGACGCAAACAGUCUGUGCGUGUUUGUUUAGGUCGAAUCGGACGCAAAAUGAGCGGGCGCAAAUGGACCAGCGUCUGCAUUUUGUCAACGCGUGACCCAUUUCAGGCCUAAAUUUGGGUCGGGUUUGCAUCGACGCGGACACACAGCAGACCCGUAUGAUGCCCGCCUCUUGUCCUCCCCUUGGCCUGCCAGUCGGUGGCACAUUGGCCAUUCCGCUUUCCUCUAUCGACAACCACCACACUCGGUCGGCCCCCUCGCCUCCGCUGCCAAAGCUGUCGGGGAGGGCAAUGUUGAGAUCAAUGACCAUACUAUAACAAAAGAUACUACCUAGCUGAUGAUAUCUAUCCUCAGUGGACUACUUUUGUGAAAAUAAUCCCCAACCCGAUAGGAGACACUAGUAGAAAACGGGGCAAAGGUCACAGGGCAGUUUUCACAUUAGCCCCGGUUCAGUCACGAACCGGGACUAAUGUGAGCAUUGGUCCCGGUUCGUGAGCCCAGGGGGCCGGCCGGGGCCUCGUGGGCAUUGGUCCCGGUUCGUAUGGACCCUUUGGUCCCGGUUGGUGGUACAAACCGGGACCAAUGGGCCACGCUCCUGGCCCACCACCCUUUAGUCCCGGUUCAUACCACAAACCGGGACUAAAGGGCUGGUCCUAGUUGCGGCCAGUGUUUAGUCCCACCUCGCCAACCGAAGGGGACUCACACCAGUUUAUAAGCCCGUCCCUCUCUGCCUUUUAAAGUGAAAAUAGAUGCCCUUAUACAGGGAAUUUGACCUAAAUUCAUAGUAAAUUUCAUAAAAAUUUAUUAUGAAUUUAGGUUGAAUUUUCUCUAUAAGCGCAUCUAUUUUCAUUUUUUUUAUUUACAAAAUAAAUAAACCUUAAUAAAAUAAAUAAAACUAAAUAAACCUUAAUAAAAUAAAAUAAAAUAAACUAUAGUAACUACAAUAAAUAAACCUUAAUAAAUUAAGUAAAAAUAGCAGCAGUAAAAUAAAUAAAAAUAGCAGCAGUAAAAUAAAUAAAAAUAAAAUGCGUCUGGAAGAGAUUGUCCGUUUUGUACACGAAGUGCAUCCAGUUUAUGCCGUAACCCUCUCAACUUUCUUGCACAUGCUAUGUGGAUGAAAUGAUGAUAUCAUGCCAACUUUCAACCUUUUCAGAGUUCAUUUGAAAUGCAUUUCAAUUUUAGGGUCUUAUAGCUCAAAAUAAUUAGUAAAUGCAUGAAAAAUAACAAAUGAAGUCAGAAAGGAUUGAAAAAUGAUGAUGUGGCUUUGAAUGGUGCAUUUUGAACACACAAAAAGUCAGGAGUUCAAAUAAGUUUUAAAAAAUGAAAUCCCUUUGUAACAGACGAGUUUCCGGAUGAAAUCCUGAUACUUUGAAAGAGAUUGUCCGUUUUGUACACGAAGUGCAUCCAGUUUAUGCCGUAACCCUGUCAACUUUCUUGCACAUGCUAUGUGGAUGAAAUGAUGAUAUCAUGCCAACUUUCAACCUUUUCAGAGUUCAUUUGAAAUGCUUUUCAAUUUUAGGGUCUUAUAGCUCAAAAUAAUUAGUAAAUGCAUGAAAAAUAACCAAAUGAAGUCAGAAAGGAUUGACAAAUGAUGAUGUGGCUUUGAAUGGUGCAUUUUGAACACAUAAAAAGUCAGGAGUUCACAUAAGUUUUAAAAAAUGAAAUCCCUUUGUAACAGACGAGUUUCCGGAUGAAAUCCUGAUACUUUGAAAGAGAUUGUCCGUUUUGUACACGAAGUGCAUCCAGUUUAUGCCGUAACCCUCUCAACUUUCUUGCACAUGCUAUGUGGAUGAAAUGAUGAUAUCAUGCCAACUUUCAACCUUUUCAGAGUUCAUUUGAAAUGCUUUUCAAUUUUAGGGUCUUAUAGCUCAAAAUAGUUAGUAAAUGCAUGAAAAAUAACAAAUGAAGUCAGAAAGGAUUGAAAAAUGAUGAUGUGGCUUUGAAUGGUGCAUUUUGAACACACACAAAGUCAGGAGUUCAAAUAAGUUUUAAAAAAUGAAAUCCCUUUGUAACAGACGAGUUUCCGGAUGAAAUCCUGAUACUUUGAAAGAGAUUGUCCGUUUUGUACACGAAGUGCAUCCAGUUUAUGCCGUAACCCUCUCAACUUUCUUGCACAUGCUAUGUGGAUGAAAUGAUGAUAUCAUGCCAAUUUUCAACCUUUUCAGAGUUCAUUUGAAAUGCUUUUCAAUUUUAGGGUCUUAUAGCUCAAAAUAAUUAGUAAAUGCAUGAAAAAUAACAAAUGAAGUCAGAAAGGAUUGACAAAGGAUAAUGUGGCUUUGAAUGGUGCAUUUUGAACACACAAAAAGUCAGGAGUUCAAAUAAGUUUUAAAAAAUGUAAUCCCUUUGUAACAGACGAGUUUCCGGAUAAAAUCCUGAUACUUUGAAAGAGAUUGUCCGUUUUGUAACAUGCCAUUGGUGGCACGAACCGGGACCAAUUCCACCCUUUGGUCCCUGUUGGUGCCACGAACCGGUACUAAUGAGGCUGUGGCCCCACGAGCACCUUUAGUACCUGUUCGUGGCAUGAACCAGUACUAGAGUUUCUUACUAGCUAAGCAGUUUUUUAGUCCCACCUCGCUAGCUGAGAGGCACUAGGAGCGGUUUAUAAGCCCUGAGUGUAGAGACAAUGAAGAAGAGGCGCAAUGCUCACGUUGCUUAGCUUCAAGCCUUGAGGAAUAAGGUAGACUGCAUCGAGCUAUGUGCAGUGCAGUCUACACUAUUCCGAAAGGCUUGAAGCAAAUCAACGCGCAUUGCGCCUCUUUUUUAUUUUUAAUCAUUAAAAGCAAAAAGAAUUUUCAUAAAGAACUUUUUUUGAUAGAAACUUUAAUAGCAGAAAGAAUUAUCAUAAAGUAAAAUAACUAAGUAAUUAGAAACAAAAUAAAAUAAAAUAAAUAAGUUUUUUGUUGUAAGUAGAAAUAAAACAAAAUAAAUAUAGCAAAAAAAAUAAAAAAACUAAAUACAGCAAAAAGAAUUUUCAUAAAGAACUAAUGGCACUAAUAGAAAGUUUAUAUGUUUUCUAAAACUAAUGGCACUAACAGACAGUUUAUAAUUUUGCUGACCUAAAAGCAAAAAGAAUUAAAAAAUAAAGCAAAAAACAAAAGAAAAUAAAUAAUGCAAAAAAUUUAAAAAAUGCCACCUAUUGGGCCACCACGGCGUGAAUACGACUAGAAACCCAACCUGGGCCAGGAUUCAGGCCCGCAGAAGGCCCAAUAGGCCAACAGACAGCACAGUGUGACAUUAGGCCCAUAAGCCUGCAUUUGAGAGGAGCUCGAGAGGGCAGCCGCAGUGGAGCUUAUAAACCACUCCGAGCCCCUCUCAACUAGCGAGGUGGGACUAAAACUUUUGGCCGCGGGCAGCGCAAGGCCUUUGGUCCCGGUUGGUGGCACCAACCGGGACCAAUGCCCCCCUUUAGUCCCGGUUGGUGCCACCAACCGGGACCAAAGGCCUCUGCUUCCCGCCCUUUGCGCUGGUGAAAAGAGGCCUUUAGUCCCGGUUGGUGGCANNNNNNNNNNNNNNNNNNNNNNNNNNNNNNNNNNNNNNNNNNNNNNNNNNNNNNNNNNNNNNNNNNNNNNNNNNNNNNNNNNNNNNNNNNNNNNNNNNNNNNNNNNNNNNNNNNNNNNNNNNNNNNNNNNNNNNNNNNNNNNNNNNNNNNNNNNNNNNNNNNNNNNNNNNNNNNNNNNNNNNNNNNNNNNNNNNNNNNNNNNNNNNNNNNNNNNNNNNNNNNNNNNNNNNNNNNNNNNNNNNNNNNNNNNNNNNNNNNNNNNNNNNNNNNNNNNNNNNNNNNNNNNNNNNNNNNNNNNNNNNNNNNNNNNNNNNNNNNNNNNNNNNNNNNNNNNNNNNNNNNNNNNNNNNNNNNNNNNNNNNNNNNNNNNNNNNNNNNNNNNNNNNNNNNNNNNNNNNNNNNNNNNNNNNNNNNNNNNNNNNNNNNNNNNNNNNNNNNNNNNNNNNNNNNNNNNNNNNNNNNNNNNNNNNNNNNNNNNNNNNNNNNNNNNNNNNNNNNNNNNNNNNNNNNNNNNNNNNNNNNNNNAUAUGCAAAUGUUUGUAUGUUCAUAUGCAAAGAAUGUAUCAAUUUUUUCAUAGAAUUUUUAUGAUUUUUUCUGUUGUAAUUUUGUUCAUAGAAUUAUUAUGAUUUUUUUUGUUCAUAGAAAUUGUGUAUGAUCAAAGUCAUUUAUGUAUGUUCAUAUUUAGAAGAAAAAGAAGGAGAGAAAAAAAGAAAAUAAGAAGGAGAAGAAGAAGAGAAGAAGAGAAGAAGAGGAGAGGAAGUAGAGGAGAAAUAAAUAAGAAGAUGAAAAAGAAGAAAAAAAAAGAGUAGAAGAAGAAGAAAUAGAGGAGAAGAAGAAGAAAUAGAAUAAUAUAUUAUUCUAUUUUUUCUUCUUCUUCUCUAUUCCUUCUUCUUCUCCUCUUUUUUUCUUUUUUUUCUUCGAUCUCCUCCUCUAUUCCUUUCUUCUUCUCCUCUUUUUUUGCGUCUUCUUCCUCUUCUUAUUUUUUAUCGGGUAUGUCGUUGUCGAUAUAUGUACCCCCCUCCCCGAUAACUUUUAGUAAGUACUACCUAGAAAGUGUUUAAUAGAAUUAGUUAGAAAAAUAAUAGAACUAGUUAAACUAGCUAGUUUAUUUUUAGUAAGUACUACUUUAUUCUAUUUAUAGUAAGGAAAUUAAUAGAACUAGUUUGUUUUUUUAGUUAAAGCAAUUAUUCCCGCAUCGACGUCGACGAUGCCUAUCCCGCAUCCUCGUCGUCGACUCGGCGGAGGAGGCCGGCUUGAUCAGAGGGGCCAUGUCCGGGACUGGGCUCCGCCGGGCUGGUUUUGGGAGGUGCUACCUUCCGGUGGGCGUAGGUUGGUGAGGAACCAGCCCGUCGUUGAUCCGAUCCUUGUUUGGUGGCGCUCGCGUGGGCCAGUGACGGUGCCGAGGCUUCCGGACACCGCGGAGGAGGUACGUCACCGUGUCAGCGAGGAGGACCAGCACGUCCGUCGCUACAUGGUUGCGUUGGAGGGCAGGUUCGACAGUACCUGGCAGGUUCUUCAGGGAUCUCACUGGAGCUAUGAUCCUGUGAUGGUUCCGUCCCUUUGGGUGUCCACCGCCCGCGCCGAUGUCCGUCGGGCGCUACUGUUCUAGCUGUACUAGCGAUGCUAUAUGUAUGAUAGUAUUCGAGGUGUAUUAGUGAUAAUAUUCGGCGAUGUACGGACGCAUGGAGAUGAUGUAGUUUUGCUUAUAAUUGAAUGCAUCCUAAUUUGAAUACUACUUUAUUUUGUGAUUUGAUUUUGCUUAUUGAAUGCUCAAAGUGGAAAACUACUCCGAUCCUACUUUGAAUGCUAAAAUUGGAGAGCACUAUGAUUAGUUGAUAGCUUAUAGGGUUUUGUUUUCGCAGAAAUCUAGGAGCCCCCCGGCCCCUCCAUCAUCCCCGCCGUGGUCCCCGUCACCGCCCCCUCCGACAUCGAGGUGAGACCAGCCAAAUCCUCUUUUAGAAAGAUAAUUAAACGAUAUUUCGGGUUGACUGUAAGUCUGUCGAGUCUCCACCAUAUAUGAGAGGACGAAGAAUCCCGACUGUGUUGUCGUGGGGGUAGCUUCUCCUUCGUUCCCGUGUGCUAGACAAUUUGGUGUAAUGCACUCGAGAACGAAAGGAGGAGCUACCAUCACCGACGGUCGCAAAUGUCAGAGAGGAAUCAGUGAGGGAGAGUUCCACCAUAUAUAUAUGAGAGCACGAAGAAUCCCGACUGUUGUCGUGGGGGUCGCUUCUCCUUUGUUCCCGUGUGCUAGCUAGACAUUUUGGUGUAAUGCACACGGGGACAAAGGGAGGAGCGACCAUCACCAACGGUCGAAUGUAUACACCACGUGAGCUGAGAGUUUUCAAGAAAAGACUCGACAAACCGAUAGUCAACCCGUGAUGAAUAAUAAUGAUCUAACUUAGGUUUUUUAGUACAUAUAUUUAAUUGUAGAUGUUUAAUAUUUGAAUUAUAUAUGAACAUAGGAAAUGUCGUACUCGGACGACGAAAGUCUCUCGGGGGAGUGCGACUGGUGCCACGACGACCGAGGUCAGUGCGACAGGCCUCACCUGGACGAAGAUCGGCGCUUCAGUAUUAAGCUGGAGGAGACGUUCGAUGUUGAAACGGUACGCAACGACGACAAGUGUUAUUUUUUCGUAAUUAAGCACGACUUCAACUAUUUCAACGUGUACUUUUCAUCUUUUACAAUUCAGCUAGCUUAUCCCAUGCCAUGCAAGACGCUACGUCUUGGAGAGGAUGGGUUUUGAAGACCAUGAAAGUAUGGAAACAAAGAAAAUUCACCUAAGGACCCAUCAUGAUAUAGAUUUUGAAGUAAAGCUGUAUAAUUCUGAGAGCGUAACCCAUUUUGGUUGCAAAAAUUGGGAAGCAUUUUGCAAGAUGUAUGGUUUUGAUGAGGGUAUGCUUGUCACCAUGGAUCUUGGUGAUCCUGACAUCGAGCAAGACAAUAUGGACAUUUGGGUCCUUGUUGAUACGCCUCCAAUUCUACCGCUAUGUGAGUUUCUCAAACAUAGUUAUUAGCUAAUUUAUAUUGUUCAUUUCAAAAUAGUUGACAGCUUAUUUUCAUUGACAACUUAUUUUGAUUGUUCAAACAAUAUGCGGAACAUGAUAGACAGAACCUACUACACCGAUGGCUCUGAGUUAACUUAUAAGGAGAAAACUCAUCUGGUCGGAUUUUGUACUGAUAUUGAGAAUUACAAUAUCUACAAUCAAACUCCUCAUCAUUAUGGUCCUCCAUACGUGCCACUAGUGCACGUGGUGAACUACGGUAGCUACUAUGGAGAUACCCUGGUAAGAUUUCUUACUAUUACGACAUCCGUGCAUAUUUUGCAUAGUUCUAAAGCUAGUGCAUUAUCAUUGCUAACUAUGAAGUUAUUACUAUGUUUUUCAACAGAUAAUCCCAGAGGAUUGUGUGCCUCAUUUGAUGUAUCAGAAUGGUAGGCUUGAUGUUUUGAAUAUACAACCAGGUCAUCCUACGAAUCUCAACUGUCCAUACCGGAUUUCUAAAAGAAGUGGAGACAUGCAAAUCAAAGAAUGGAAAAAAUGUAUGGACAGUCGCAAGGAGCUUCUUGGAAGCAAAAGGAAGCGAGGCGCAAGAAUUGGAGACAGGAUGAUCUCCAUUCUCCAUAAUGGAGAGUCAGUGUCUAUAUUGUUUUAUGCUAUUUUACCUUAAAGAGGGUAUUUCGGUCCUACCUAAUACUGAUGAUCAUGUGCUAAGAACAAUUAAGUAGGGUUGGUUCGAUGACUGUGAGGAUGAUGAUCGAUCGUAUGACUUGUUAUUAAUAACGAGUAGAAGUUGUAUGAUGAUGAUUAGUAGGACUUGUUAUUAUAUAUGAUGAUGCAUGAUGCGUGCAUGAAGAGUUAUUAUAUAUCAGCGGGUGAAAUGAACAUGGAUUGGAUUGAAGUGAAGGCAACAUGCAUGUGGUGCGUGUCGAAAGUAGUACAAUCCAAACUUGAUCAAGUCCGGAUAAGUAUUAGUUUCGACAUGCACCACAUGUUGCCUUCACUUCAAUCUAAGCCAUGUUUAGGCAUAGCAGUACGUAGCGUUGGUAAACCAAGCACGGAGAUAUAAGAGAGGACACUUCUCUCUAAUAGCUACCUAAUAACAACCUAAAUUAACCCCCCAAAACCCCCAAACCCCCCCCNNNNNNNNNNNNNNNNNNNNNNNNNNNNNNNNNNNNNNNNNNNNNNNNNNNNNNNNNNNNNNNNNNNNNNNNNNNNNNNNNNNNNNNNNNNNNNNNNNNNNNNNNNNNNNNNNNNNNNNNNNNNNNNNNNNNNNNNNNNNNNNNNNNNNNNNNNNNNNNNNNNNNNNNNNNNNNNNNNNNNNNNNNNNNNNNNNNNNNNNNNNNNNNNNNNNNNNNNNNNNNNNNNNNNNNNNNNNNNNNNNNNNNNNNNNNNNNNNNNNNNNNNNNNNNNNNNNNNACCAACCGGGACCAAAGGCCCUCCUGCCUGGGCUCCCCGCACCGGCCACGUGGACGGCCUUUAGUCCCGGUUCGUGUAAGAACCGGGACUAAAGGGCUAGGGCAUUAGUAACGACCCUUUAGUCCCGGUUCCUGAACCGGGACUAAAGGCCCUUAUGAACCGGGGUAAAAGCCCCUUUUCCUACUAGUGAGAGAAGAGGAGAAGAUUUACCCAAGCACAAGAGAGUGCUCGAAAGGAUGUGGAGCAUGCUUUCGGUGUUCUUCAAUAUUGAUGGGGCAUUAUUCGGUAUCCUGCUAGAAUUUGGAGCACCAAGAAGUUAUGGGAGAUGAUGAUUGCUUGUGUGAUCAUUCACAACAUGAUCGUAGAGCAUGAGCAUGAGAACGAAAUCUACUCCUCUUUCGAGCACUCUCCCCGACAUGAUAGGAGAGAAGAAUGGGAUUGAGACAGACGGGGAGAAGGACUUAGAUGAACAGCAAAAUCCAAAAAAAUAGUAAACUAACUCAAAAAAUUCUGAUUUUUUUGUCAACAAACAUUGACGAUUUUUCUACACACAUGCAAAUUUUCGCAAUGGAAUCACAUUUGUGGAUGCUUCAGCAAAAGAAACAAAAUCAAUGCUCCAAAAUGCUUUAAAAACAUUUUUUGGAGCAUCGAUUUUGUUUUUUUAUGGCACCUCCACAAAUUUGAUUUUUAAAACUCACAUUCAACUGCAAGAUUGAAAAACAAAAUUGAAAAAUAAAUAUGUGAACUCAUCCUCCAGAAGCUCCAGUGCAUAGCGGACGGCUAAAGUGUGCGGAGAAUGUCAAGAGAGGGCGGGGUAGACCGAAUUUGACAUGGGAGGAGUCCGCUAAGAGAGACCUGAAGGAUUGGAGUAUCACCAAAGAGCUAGCUAUGGACAGGGGUGCGUAGAAGCUUGCUAUCCAUGUGCCAAAGCCAUGAGUUGGUUGUGAGAUCUUAUAGAUUUCACCUCUAGCCGACCCCAACUUGUUUGGGACUAAAUGCUUUGUUGUUGUUGUUGUUGUUGUUGUGAGUGAGCAUAGCCGAGCAACAAGCAGGCGAGCACAAAAGCAUGCAGCCGAGCGACGAGCGGCCGAGCACAGUCGAGCAGCCUAAUGGUCCGGCCCAAGUGUCGCGCCAGUUUCUCGACCAGCGCUAAGGGUGUGUUUGGUAGCAUGUAUGGACCUAGCCUAGUUGUUCUUCUUUCAUCCAUGCUGAGUGUAGACAUGCUGAGUCCAUGCAGUUGCUCUUGUUUGGCAGUGAUGUAUGAACUGAGACAUGCUGAGCUGAUACUUUGUUUGGCAGCCUGCAUUUGUUUAUACAUGCUGAACAAUUUUUUUUGAAAAUUUAAAAUUCUAAACAUAUUUUUAAAAAUUGAACAUAUUUGAAAUUAUGAUUUUUUUAGAAAAAAUAAUCAAAUUUUGAAUAUUUUAUAAAAAUUAAAACAAAAUUUGAAUUUUUGAAUAUUUUUUGAAAAAAUACAAAAAAUGUUUUUUUAAUUCUGGACAUUUUUUGAAAAUUUAAACAAAUUGAAUUGCUGAACUUUUUUUUUUGAAAAUUUACACAAUUUUGAAAUUCUAAACAUUAAAAAAAAUGAAAUUCUGGAUUUUCUUAAAAAUUUGAACAAAAUUUGAAAUUCUGAACAUUUUUUAAAAAUUUAAACAUAUCUAGACGUGGUCUGGUGGGUGGAGACGAGGGUCAGGGCCAGCAUGGCUGCCUCCAUGCACCUUGUCUGGGGUACCCUGUGCAUGAGAUGGGCAUGGCUGAGGACCCUUUUAUGCAUCAGAUGGGCAUAGCUCAGGUGAGUCCAUACACCCUACCAAACAAGCAAAAGUGGGUCGGAUUGAAAACUUUUGCCCUCAUGCACCCUACCAAACACACCCUAAGGAGUUGUUUGGAUAUCGAGAAUUAGAUGCUAGAUUUUGGAAAACCAAUUUUAAGAUAAUUUUAGGGAAACCAGUUUUAAUUAGUCAUUCUUUUAAGAUAAGUAUAUACAAUUCCUUGAACAACAAAGAAGAGUAAAAUGGCCCUCCGGCGUGCGGCUGUUGAAGCCGUCAUCAUGGGCACCGAGGAGGUCCCGUUGCUUGCGCCUGGAGCAACACGUUGCCGUCGACGUUUUCGUAAUCCUCGCCAUGGGCGCUGAGGAGGCCGAUCUGCUCGAGUCGAGAACAACGCGUCGCCGUCGAUGGUGUCGCAACCAUCGCCAUGGAUAUUGAGGAGGUCGCGCCGAGAACAACAUGCCGCGUCCAUGGUGUUGCAGCCGUCACCAUGGGUGCCUACUGACGAGGUGGUCGUGCUGCUCGCGUUGAGAACAACACGCCGCCGUCGAUGGUGUCAGGUAGAUGGUGUCGCAGAGGUUGCUAUGGACGUCUGGAACAACAUGCCGAUGUAAGGUUCUAGAAUACUUUUUUUUAGGACGGGCUCUAGGAUACAUGACCAAAAUUCAAGAAAAUCACAUUCAUUUUGACCAAAACGCAUGAAAAUUUCUCCCUCGGCCGCACUGUUUCAACCCCUAAGGCCCUAAAACAUGAAGCUUUUUUUUUGGUUUUGAGCGAUAACACAUGAAGCUGCAAGGCCGAAAGUUGACGACAAAAGAUUCCAAUAAUAUGACAACAACGCAGCCCAGUGCCCACCCGCACGACAGCAAACCAAAAAUUGCAGCCCAUUCGCAUCGGCCACAUUUUCCCCUUUAUCCUGACAGACGACACAAAAAUAUCUCCGUCGCUGCCGCCGCCGCCGGCAUGCUCCGCCUGCGAGAAUCCAUUGUUUCCCAUCUCCUCUCUUCACCCUCCGCCCCUGCCAUAUCCCCACUCCGUCGCCUCCUCUCCGCUGCCGCGGCCGCCAUUUCUCCGAACCCCAGUGGAUUCGCCGUCGAGGACUACCUCGUCGAUAUCUGCGGCCUCACCCGACCUCAAGCCCUCAAGGCCUCCCCGAAGCUCUCCCACCUCAACUCCCCCGCCAACCCCAACGCCGUCCUCGCCUUCCUCUCCGGCCUAUCAUGUGUUCAGAUUUUAAGGGUCAUCUGGGAAGUGGGAUUUGCCGGCACUCCACCUUCAGAUACGUGGACAUGGGCCAAUGCAGCCUGCCAAGAUGGUGCUCAGUGAGAUCAAACUUCUUCCACCAAGAAGAGCAUGCGGCCUCAGAGCAUAAUUGGUUACUACUUGGUAGGUUACCGAGUUGUCUUGCCUAUCUCACAUAUAGUUGCCAAUAGUUGGCAAGUAUUGGCAAUGCCAACUUUUGGCUAGCCAAAUAUUCUCUGCUCACACUUUUUUGUUGUUGAGAAUUACUCCUCAAUUUAUCUGGUAGAUUUCCUUUUGUUAGUAGGAAAUCGAUCUAUUUUAAUGUGAUUUAGAUAUGCUUCUUCCAGUCAUUGGUUGAUUUCGUUACUGAAAUCUGCACUUCUCUUUGUGUCAUUGCUUCAUUCCGUCCAAUAGUUUGUAAACAACUGGAACAAUAUCAUGGAAAAGAUUAGUGUCCUGGUUAUAUUGUGCAUCUCUUUUAUGUGGUCCUGUUUUUUGCUUGCCGUCUUGUUUACUGAUUCUUUGUUAGUGCUCCUUUGCAUUGCAAUCUGGUGCUUCGGUUGUCAGAUGCCGCUGUUUGUGAUCUUGUAACAGAUUUCCGCGGUGUUGCUUAAUUUGCCCCUGGUGUUUUCUGUUGUUUCCAUACAGGUUAAAUAGGGAGUACGUACUUGUACAAAUGAAUUUACUGUUUUAAUCCGUUAAAAAAAACUGUUUUAAUUGCUGCCACAGUAAAGUUGCUGUGUAGGUAAUGGUCACAGCAGAUUUGAAGAGCAUAGGUUUUCUAUUUGCAUGAUCUUACUUGUAUAUAGUAGACCUGGAGAUAGACAGCCUUGGGCACGAAACUGGAGAGUGCCUUAAUACACACAAGCUAGUGAAUUCCACGGUCUUAAUUUUCAUCCGAAUUUUAAUCAGUGGUGUUGAUAUUUGAAGCUAGGCUCGGGCUUACUCAAAUGGUAGUGAGGUUCGGUGAUCCUUUACAUACAUUGCAUAAAUGCAGAAUGGUAGAUACACUGUUAUGGAUUUUUAGGAUUUCAACUGCUGUUUAUAUCCCUGAGUGGCUAAUUUCAAAUUCAAAUCGAGAUCCAGAUAGUUACCUGCUCAUAAGCUGCAGGUACUAAUUGCCAUCUUCAUACUGGGUCUGUUGAGUUGUGAGCUACUCCCUCCGUCCCAUAAUGUAAGACGUUUUUUGACGCUACACUAUGUGCCAGUUAUCUCUGAUUUUUUUCUGUAAUCAUCCAAUAUUUUUGCUCCGCCACCUUGCUUUACAUUUCCACUGCAGCAGUGACCAUCAGACCUCGCGGGCAGGAAAUUUCCAUGUGUUUUUGGCAUUGUGAAUGGUUUUGUUCUGAUAUGAAACGUGUAACCGUAGUCCUGAAAGUUUCUGAAAUUGUUGCUACUUUAACACUGUCUGUUUCUUGCGUUGCUAUUCUGAACUUUAUUAUUUCUUUGUAAAUGUGAUGCUCUUUCUGAACAUUUCCAAAGCAUUAGUCCGUGUUAAUUUGCUAAGGAGGUGUAGUAUAUUCAGGGGCGCAGCAAAGUUCCAAACUUAAAUGCAACAACACCCAGCAUCGAAACAUUCAGUGCCUCAACAAAUUCAGCUUAAUUAGUGUCGCACAUACAUUUACAAACUCUUACGCAGACUGAGAUAUGUAGUAUCCAUUGAAAAACAAAACUCCAGAAACUAAAUAAACAGAGGAAAUAAUAUAGUGAUAAUAAAUACACAAGGGAAAUGAUACUGAUGAAAACAUAAAUUAAGACAGAAAUCAAUCAAGUUAGAGACUGCAUUCUAACAGAAGGUUGUCUUGGGUGCACCAGGGCUGCGCUCUUGAAGGCAGACUCCACAUCAACAAGCACAUGUUGAAUUUUUUUGCUGGAGUCCAUGACGCUGUUGAUGAGACACAUAGGGAUGUCCUGGAGGCAGGGCAAACAUUCCAUGUCGGCGAAUUCCACGGUGAGCGUCCGUGCCUUGGGCAUAGCUCCUGUCUCGAAGCUCAGGCAUGCUGUGACAUCUUCAUCAAAUCGGAACUCAAAGUACUCCAAAACUAGGAACAAUCCCGUGCCGACCACCACUUUUUCUUGGGAGACAUCCAACACGUGGAUCCUGGCAUUGACCAUGAAGGGAAGCUCUCCAAGAAAAUGAACCUCAUCACUCGAAAGGUGCAAGACACACAGAUCGAGGACUCUGAGACAACACUUAGCUCAUGAAUCCAUUUGGGAACUCUAUCGAACUUCCAUUUUGCUAGAUUGAGUACCUCGAGAUGCGGCGGCGGAUCGGGCAAUGACUCCAGCUGCCUAGCAUUGUCAUAACAUUCACGAUGGCAAUCGAGGCAGAGGUGUUUGAUGUCUUGGAGCGUUCCAAUGGAGGAGACAAAAGCAUCGACUUGUUCAACCAUCCAAUGGUAAACGUCAACACCUUCAGAUUGGUCAACUCACUGAAAUCUUCGGCAUGUCCCAACAAUGCAGGGUGCAGAGUGAUUUCAUCUUCUGGACCCCUUUAGGCAGCGUUGUACCAAUUGGAAGUUCUAGAUGAAAUAGGUUGGCCAAGCGAGUUAUAUCUGAAGGAAAACUUUGUGCAGAUCGACAAACCAACUCCAGAGUUUCCAAAUGCACAAGUCCUUGGAUUUCAGCAGGGAGCGCUACAUGUGUUAAUCUGGCUAAAAUCUUCAAAAAUACCUUAGAAGAAACAAAUGGCCAAUUGCAGUGAGGUCAACUGUCGUAUACCACUGAUCUAGAAAUUCAAACAAAAGCACUAGUAGGUACUUGAACUGUGAAAGAUGAGGUAUGUACAUGGACUCCCUGAACCAUGCACAUGACCGAACUUGUGAAAUGCUAGUAGCAAGGGUCUUUGAUGUUGCACCACAUUCGAUGCCGACUGGUGUGGCGCCUCUCCACUCCGCGCAACCGAAUUCGACGGUGAGCGUCUCUACCUUGGGCAUAGCUCCUGCCUCGAAGCUCAGGCAUGAUGUGACAUCUUCAUCAAAUCGGAACUCAAAGUACUCCAAAACUGGGAACAACCCCGUGUCGACCAUCACUUUUUCUUGGGAGACAUCCAACAUGUGGAUCCUGGCAUCGGCCAUGACGGGAAGCUCUCGAAGAAAACCCAUAUUGACCCCUAUACACACACGGAUAAUUAUUCAAGAGAGCCUCCAGUUGUCGUGUGCUAUUCCUGUUGCUUCACGAUAUAUUACAAACAACCGAGGUGAGAUGUAUCGGCAUCCCCGUGGAUCAACAACUUGUCCACUAUGCCAGUUACCUCGUUACCAGUUUUGUUCUCUUUUCUCAUUUCCGUGUUCUGGCAUCCCUGUGAUCAAAUCACAUUAUGUCCGGCCAGGCAAUGAUGGAUACUAUAACACCGAGAGGGCCCUAAGAAUAUCUCUCCAUCAUCGGAGAAGCAAAUCCCAAUCUUGAGCUAUCUUGUUCCUUGUCAUACCUUUUCGUGAACCCGUAAGCCGUCGUAAUAGCCACCCAGUUACGGAUGACGUUUAACAAACCCCAAUGUUCACGAAGCAAGAACGAAGGAAUUCGACACUCUCAUGGUCUAAGGAAUUAUGCAAACAUUAAUUUUUUCUGUGUUAUUAACCAUUUAUUUGUGACCAAUGUAUCUCAUAGCAUAACAUCAAUUCGGGUCGAUUCAACACACGUGUUCUCCUAACAUUGUGCCCUCAAAAUUGCCGGCAUAGUCAUGCCCAUGAUCAGGAAAACAUGAUCAUCAUGCAAUACUUGAGCUAGUCUUAGAGGCAUGACUAGGAAUACAUUUUACCGUUUUAUUAUACCACACGUGCAUAUGAGUUUCCCUCCAAGCCUCGUUGAUAUUGCAAACUCGAGAAUCAUUGUAGUUAUAGCAUGGAACAUAAACAUCCAUUACAAACUUGAAGAUACAAAAUAAGUGUUGUUACUACCUCAAGGGCAUAUCUUCUACAGACUCCCACUUGCACUAGAGUCAUAAUCCAGUUACAUGGCUUCCCGAAUACCAAUGACUAUCUGGUGCUGCUCAUGCUUUGCUCGUGGUAGAGGCUUUGUCAUCGGGUCUGAUACAUUCAGAUCCGUGUGAACUUUGCGUACUUUCACUAAACCUGUUUUCGACAUGAUGUCGAAUGAGUUUAUAUUUGCGUUUAAUAUGUCUUGUCUUAUGGUGCGAAGAUGGCUCCCCUAGCCCGAGCCACGGUGACACUAUUAUCACAAUAGAUCUCCACCGGGUCCAGCGCACUUGGAACCACACCAAGGUAUUCAAGAAACUGCUUGAUCCAAACCGCCUCAUUGGAGGCUUCUGAAGCUACAACAUAUUCUGCUUCCGUCGUAGAAUCCGUCACAGUCUUUUGUUUGGAACUUUUCCAAUCAACUACACCACUCAAUAUGAAAACAUAGCCUAAUUGAGAUUUGAAGUCAUAUGGGUCAGUCAUGAAGCCUGCAUCAGUGUAACCACUUACAACGAGCUCUUCAUCACCUCGGUACACAAGGAGUAAAUCAUUGGUCCUUCUGAGGUACUUCAGAAUAUUUUUGACUGCGGCCCAGUGUUCCAAUCCUGGAUCACUUUGGUACCGGCUGCUAAGACUUAGCGCAGGAAACAUCUGGUCUUGUACAUAGCAUGGCAUACAUAAUGGAACCAACUACCGAAUCAUAUGGAACAUCAUUCAUUUGUACUCGCUCAUCGAGAGUCUGAGGACACUGAUUUUUGCAAAGCACUGUGCUAGGUGACAUGGGGGGUAGGCCUUUCCGUACCUCUUAUGUUUAAGGUCCCUAAGGUGGUCAAUCAGUGGCGGAUCUUAGUAGAAGUCUGAGGGGGCCGUGCCACCCCCGCCCCCAGCCUUAGGCAAAAAAUUGAAGAAAAUUUACUAUGCAGGGCUUAGAUAAGGAAAAAGUCAAUUAUUUACCCUGCUAAUUGUUCAUAUUUUGGCUUUGGCACCCUAAGAUUGCUAUCUAGCUCUGCCACUGAGGUCAAUAAUGUCUUGUAGCUCGUGAGCAUGAGAAGAAUCCGCCAUCUGAAGAUUUAAUUCCAGGCCACAGAGAAGGUUCUGCAAAUCUGGUCUUUGGGUGACUGAAAUAAAUGUCUCACAGUAAAACUAUUCUCUAAUCUUAUCAUACACUUGUUUGGCAAGCGUAGUUUUACCCAAGCCUCCAGAACCCAAGAUGGAAACCAGUUAGUUUCUUCUGUGAAUCUGUCAACCAACUGACAAGCUCUUCUCUCGGGCCAUCAAUACCGACGAGACCUACCUGCUUGAAGAUCGUUGACACCUGAGGAUCCGCGACCACAUUGCCAUGACUCGAAUUGAUGCAAUUAUCAAUCUUGUAACGCUCGCGCUGAGCAUUUGCCUCCACCACAAGAACCUUGAGCUCCUCGAUCCGAUUGACAAUCUGAUGACGCCUCCCCAACCUCUUGAGACGUUGAGACAUCUUCGUGACAAAACCUUUCUUUACAUGGGCACCCUCAUUGUGAUGAGGGAAGUCAUUGAUGCAAUUCUCCAUAUCAUAAGACAUCUCCCUGACAUGGUCCCUCCAGUUCUUGGCCGAGGGACCGAGCUCAUCCAUUAGCUCCAUUUUGUCAAGGAGAGCUUUCAUGGUGCAGAGCUCAUCCUUGAAGAAGGUGUUGGGGAACGUAGUAAUUUCCAAAAAUUUCCUACGCACACACAGGAUCAUGGUGAUGCAUAGCAACGAGAGGGGAGAGUGUUGUCCACGUACCCUCGUAGACCGAAAGCGGAAGCGUUAGCACAACGCGGUUGAUGUAGUCGUACGUCUUCACGAUCCGACCGAUCAAUUACCGAACGCACGGCACCUCCGAGUUCAGCACACGUUCAGCUCGAUGACGUCCCUCGAACUCCGAUCCAGCCGAGCUUUGAGGGAGAGUUUCGUCAGCAUGACGGCGUGGUGACGAUGUUGAUGUUCUACCGACGCAGGGCUUCGCCUAAGCACCGCUACGAUAUUAUCGAGGUGGAUUCUGGUGGAGGGGGGCACCGCACACGGCUAAGAGAUCAAUGAUCAAUUGUUGUCCCUCCAAGGGGUGCCCCCCUCCCCGUAUAUAAAGGAGUGGAGGAGGGGGAGGGCCGGCCCUCUCUAUGGCGCGCCCUAGGAGGAGUCCUACUCCCACCGGGAGUAGGAUUCCCCCCCUUCCAAGUAGUAGGAGUAGGAGUCAAGGAAAGGGGAGAGAGAAGAGAAGGAAGGAGGGGGCGCAGCCCCUCCCCCUAGUCCAAUUCGAACUAGGCCUUGGGGGCGCGCAGCCUCUACUCUCUCUUUCCCCUAAAGCCCAAUAAGGCCCAUAUACUCCCCGGCGAAUUCCCGUAACUCUCCGGUACUCCGAAAAAUACCCGAAUCACUCGGAACCUUUCCUAUGUCUGAAUAUAGUCGUCCAAUAUAUCAAUCCUUACGUCUCGACCAUUUCGAGACUCCUCGUCAUGUCCCCGAUCUCACCCGGGACUCCGAACUACCUUCGGUAUAUCAAAACACAUAAACUCAUAAUAUAACCGUCAUCGAACUUUAAUCGUGCGGACCCUACGGGUUCGAGAACAAUGUAGACAUGACCGAGACACGUCUCCGGUCAAUAACCAAUAGCGGAACCUGGAUGCUCAUAUUGGCUCCCACAUAUUCUACGAAGAUCUUUAUCGGUCAAACCGCAUAACAACAUACGUUGUUCCCUUUGUCAUCGGUAUGUUACUUGCCCGAGAUUCGAUCGUCGGUAUCUCAAUACCUAGUUCAAUCUCGUUACCGGCAAGUGUCUUUACUCGUUUCGUAAUACAUCAUCCCGCAACUAACUCAUUAGUUACAAUGCUUGCAAGGCUUAUAGUGAUGUGCAUUACCGAGUGGCCCAGAGAUACCUCUCCGACAAUCGGAGUGACAAAUCCUAAUCUCGAAAUACGCCAGCCCAACAAGUACCUUCGGAGACACCUAUAGAGCAACUUUAUAAUCACCCAGUUACGUUGUGAUGUUUGGUAGCACACAAAGUGUUCCUUCGGUAAACGAGAGUUGCAUAAUCUCAUAGUCAUAGGAACAUGUAUAAGUCAUGAAGAAAGCAAUAGCAACAUACUAAACGAUCGAGUGCUAAGCUAACGGAAUGGGUCAAGUCAAUCACAUCAUUCUCCUAAUGAUGUGAUCCCAUUAAUCAAAUGACAACUCAUGUCUAUGGUUAGAAACUUUAUCAUCUUUGAUUAAUGAGCUAGUCAAGUAGAGGCAUACUAGUGACACUAUAUUUGUCUAUGUAUUCACACAUGUAUUAUGUUUUCGGUUAAUACAAUUCUAGCAUGAAUAAUAAACAUUUAUCAUGAAAUAAGGAAAUAAAUAAUAACUUUAUUAUUGCCUCUAGGGCAUAUUUCCUUCAGUCUCCCACUUGCACUAGAGUCAAUAAUCUAUUUCACAUCGCCAUGUGAUUUAACACCAAUAGUUCACAUCACCAUGUGAUUAACACCCAUAGUUCACAUCGUCAUGUGACCAACACCCAAAGGGUUUAUUAGAGUCAAUAAUCUAGUUCACAUUGCUAUGUGAUUAACACCCAAAGAGUACUAAGGUGUGAUCAUGUUUUGCUUGUGAGAGAAGUUUAGUCAACGGGUCUGCCAUAUUCAGAUCCGUAUGUAUUUUGCAAAUUUCUAUGUCAACAAUGCUCUGCACGGAGCUACUCUAGCUAAUUGCUCCCACUUUCAAUAUGCAUCCAGAUUGAGAUUUAGAGUCAUCUGGAUCAGUGUCAAAACUUGCAUCGACGUAACCCUUUACGACGAACCUUUUUUCACCUCCAUAAUCGAGAAACAUAUCCUUAUUCCACUAAGGAUAAUUUUGACCGUUGUCCAGUGAUCUACUCCUAGAUCACUAUUGUACUCUCUUGCCAAAAUCAGUGUAGGGUAUACAAUAGAUCUGGUUCACAGCAUGGCAUACUUUAUAGUACCUAUGGCUGAGGCAUAGGGAAUGACUUUCAUUCUCUUUCUAUCUUCUGCCGUGGUCGGGCUUUGAGUCUUACUCAAUUUCACACCUUGUAACACAGGCAAGAACUCUUUCUUUAACUGUUCCAUUUUGAACUACUUCAAAAUCUUGUCAAGGUAUGUACUCAUUGAAAAAACUUAUCAAGCGUCUUGAUCUAUCUCUAUAGAUCUUGAUGCUCAAUAUGUAAGCAGCUUCACCGAGGCCUUUCUUUGAAAAACUCCUUUCAAACACUCAUUUAUGCUUUGCAGAAUAAUUCAACAUUAUUUCCGAUCAACAAUAUGUCAUUCACAUAUACUUACCAGAAAUGUUGUAGUGCUCCCACUCACUUUCUUGUAAAUACAGGCUUCACCACAAGUCUGUAUAAAACUAUAUGCUUUAAUCAACUCAUCAAAGCGUAUAUUCCAACUCUGAGAUGCUUGCACCAGUCCAAAGAUGGAUCGCUGGAGCUUGCACAUUUUGUUAGCACCUUUAGGAUUGACAAAACCUUCUAGUUGCAUCAUAUACAACUCUUCUUUAAUAAAUCCAUUAAGGAAUGCAGUUUUGUUUAUCCAUUUGUCAGAUUUCAUAAAAUGCGGCAAUUGCUAACAUGAUUCGGACAGACUUAAGCAUAAAUACAAGUGAGAAACUCUCAUCGUAGUCAAUACCUUGAACUUGUCGAAAACCUUUUGCGACAAUUCUAGCUUUGUAGAUAGUAACACUACUAUCAGCGUCCGUCUUCCCCUUGAAGAUCCAUUUAAUCUCAAUGGCUCGCCUAUCAUUGGGCAAGUCAAUCAAAGUCCAUACUUUGUUCUCAUACAUGGAUCCCAUCUCAGAUUUCAUGGCCUCAAGCCAUUUUGCGGAAUCUGGGCUCAUCAUCGCUUCCUCAUAGUUCGUAGGUUCGUCAUGGUCAAGUAACAUGACCUCGAGAACAGGAUUACCGUACCACUCUGGUGCGGAUCUUACUCUAGUUGACCUACGAGGUUCGGUAGUAACUUGAUUUGAAGUUUCAUGAUCAUCAUCAUUAGCUUCCUCACUAAUUGGUGUAGGUGUCACAGGAACCAGUUUCUGUGAUGAACUACUUUCCAAUAAGGGAGCAGGUACAGUUACCUCAUCAAGUUCUACUUUCCUCCCACUCACUUCUUUCGAGAGAAACUCCUUCUCUAGAAAGGAUCCAUUCUCAGCAACGAAUAUCUUGCCUUCGGAUCUGUGAUAGAAGGUGUACCCAAUUGUCUCCUUUGGGUAUCAUAUGAAGACACAAUUCUCCGAUUUGGGUUUGAGCUUAUCAGGAUGAAAACUUUUUCACAUAAGCAUCGGAACCCCAAACUUUAAGAAACGACAGCUUAGGUUUCUUGCUAAACCAUAGUUCAUACGGUGUCGUCUCAAUGGAUUUAGAUGGUGCCCCUUUUUUAUGUGAAUGCAGCUGUCUCUAAUGCAUAACCCCAAAACUAUAGUGGUAAAUCGGUAAGAAACAUCAUAGAUUGCACUAUAUCCAAUAAAGUACGGUUAUGACGUUCGGACACACCAUUAUGCUGCGGUGUUCCAGGUGGCAAGAAUUUGUGAAACUAUUCCACAUUGUUUUAAUUGAAGACCAAACUCGUAACUCAAAUAUUUGUCUCCACGAUCAGAUCGUAGAAACCUUAUUUACUUGUCACGAUGAUUUUCCACUUCACUCUAAAGUUCUUUGAACUUUUCAAAUGUUUCGGACUUAUGUUUCAUCAAGUAGAUAUACCCAUAUCUGCUCAAAUCAUCUGUGAAGGUCAGAAAAUAACUAUACCCGCCGCGAGCCUCAACACUCAUCGGACCACAUACAUCAGUAUGUAUGAUUUCCAACAAAUCUGUUGCUUGCUCCAUUGUUCCGGAGAACGGCGUUUUAGUCAUCUUGCCCAAGAGGCAUGGUUCGCAAGCAUCAAGUGAUUCCAAAAGCCCAUCAGCAUGGAGUUUCUUCAUGCGUUUUACACCAAUAUGACCUAAAUGGCAGUGCCACAAAUAAGUUGCACUAUCAUUAUUAACUUUGCAUCUUUUUGGCUUCAAUAUUAUGAAUAUGUGUAUCACUACGAUCGAGAUCCAACAAACCAUUUUCGUUGGUGUGUAUGACCAUAGAAGGUUCUAUUCAUGUAAACAGAACAACAAUUGUUCUCUAACUUAAAUGAAUAACCGUAUUGCAAUAAACAUGAUCAAAUCAUAUUUAUGCUCAACGCAAACAUCAAAUAACACUUAUUUAGGUUCAACACUAAUCCCUAAAGUAUAGGGAGUGUGCGAUGAUGAUCAUAUCAAUCUUGGAACCACUUCCAACACACAUCGUCACUUCACCCUUAACUAGUCUCUGUUCAUUCUGUUACUCCUGUUUCGAGUUACUAAUUUUUAGCAACCGAACAAGUAUCAAAUACCCAGGGGCUACUAUAAACACUAGUAAGGUACACAUCAAUAACAUGUAUAUCAAAUAUAUCUUGUUCACUUUGCCAUCCUUCUUAUCCGCCAAAUACUUGGGGUGGUUCCGCUUCUAGUGACUAGUCCCUUUGCAGUAGAAGCACUUAGUUUCAGGCUUAGGUCCAGACUUGGGCUUCUUUACUUAAGCAGCAACUUGCUUGCCGUUCUUCUUGAAGUUCUCAUUCUUCCCUUUGUCCUUUCUCUUGAAACUAGUGGUCUUGUCAACCAUCAACACUUGAUGUUUUUCUUAAUUUCUACCUUCGCCGAUUUUAGCAUCGCGAAGAGCUUGGGAAUUGUUUUCGUCAUCCCUUGCAUAUUAUAGUUCUUCACGAAGUUCUACUAACUUGGUGAUGGUGACUAGAGAAUUCUGUCAAUCACUAUUUUAUCUGGAAGAUUAACUCCCACUUGAUUCAAGCGAUUGUAGUACCCAGACAAUCUGAGCACAUGCUCACUGCUUGAGCUAUUCUCCUCCAUAUUUUAGCUAUAGAACUUGUUGGAGACUUCAUAUCUCUCAACUCGGGUAUUUGCUUGAAAUAUUAACUUCAACUCCUGGAACAUCUCAUAUGGUCCAUGACGUUCAAAACGUCUUUGAAGUCCCGAUUCUAAGCCGUUAAGCAUGGUGCACUAAACUAUCAAGUAGUCAUCAUAUUUAGCUAGCCAAACGUUCAUAACGUCUGCAUCUGCUCCUGCAAUAGGUCUGUCACCUAGCGGUGCAUCAAGGACAUAAUUCUUCUGUGCAGCAAUGAGGAUAAUCCUCAGAUCACGGAUCCAAUCCGCAUCAUUGCUACUAACAUCUUUCAACUCAGUUUUCUCUAGGAACAUAUCAAAAUAAAACAGGGGAGCUAAACGCGAGCUAUUGAUCUACAACAUAGAUAUGCUAAUACUACCAAGAAUAAGUUCAUGAUAAAUUUAAGUUCAAUCAAUCAUAUUACUUAAGAACUCCCACUUAGAUAGACAUCCCUCUAAUCCUCUAAGUGAUCACGUGAUCCAAAUCAACUAAACCAUGUCCAAUCAUCACGUGAGAUGGAGUAGUUUCAAUGGUGAACAUCACUAUGUUGAUCAUAUCUACUAUAUGAUUCACGCUCGACCUUUCGGUCUCAGUGUUCCGAGGCCAUAUCUGUUAUAUGCUAGGCUCGUCAAGUUUAACCUGAGUAUUCCGCGUGUGCAACUGUUUUGCACCCGUUGUAUUUGAACGUAGAGCCUAUCACACCCGAUCAUCACGUGGUGUCUCAGCACGAAGAACUUUCGCAACGGUGCAUACUCAGGGAGAACACUUAUACCUUGAUAAUUUAGUGAGAGAUCAUCUUAUAAUGCUACCGUCAAUCAAAGCAAGAUAAGAUGCAUAAAAUAUAAACAUCACAUGCAAUCAAUAUAAGUGAUAUGAUAUGGCCAUCAUCUUCUUGUGCUUGUGAUCUCCAUCUCCGAAGCACCGUCAUGAUCACCAUCGUCACCGGCGCGACACCUUGAUCUCCAUCGUAGCAUCGUUUUCGUCUCGCCAACUUAUGCUUCUACGACUAUCGCUACCGCUUAGUGAUAAAGUAAAGCAUUACAGGGCGUUUGCAUUGCAUACAAUAAAGCGACAACCAUAUGGCUCCUGCCAAUUGCCGAUAACUCGGUUACAAAACAUGAUCAUAUCAUACAAUAAAAUGUAGCAUCAUGCCUUGACCAUAUCACAUCACAACAUGCCCUGCAAAAACAAGUUAGACGUCCUUUACUUUGUUGUUGCAAGUUUUACGUGGCUGCUACAGGCUGAGCAAGAACCGUUCUUACCUACGCAUCAAAACCACAACGAUAGUUUGUCAAGUUGGUGCUGUUUUAACCUUCGCAAGGACCGGGCGUAGCCACACUCGGUUCAACUAAAGUUGGAGAAACUGACAUCCGCUAGUCACCUGUGUGCAUAGCACGGCGGUAAACCAGUCUCGCGUAAGCGUACGCGUAAUGUCGGUCCGGGCCGCUUCAUCCAACAAUACCGCCGAACCAAAAUAUGACAUGCUGGUAAGCAGUAUGACUUGUAUCGCCCACAACUCACUUGUGUUCUACUCGUGCAUAUGUCAUCUACGCAUAAAGCCUGGCUCUGAUGCCACUAUUGGGGAACGUAUUAAUUUCAAAAAAUUUCCUACGCACACACAGGAUCAUGGUGAUGCAUAGCAACGAGAGGGGAGAAUGUUGUGCAUGUACCCUUGUAGACCAAAAGCGGAAGCGUUAGCACAACGCGGUUGAUGUAGUCGUACGUCUUCACGAUCCGACCGAUCAAUUACCGAACGCACGGCACCUCCGAGUUCAGCACACGUUCAGCUCGAUGACGUCCCUCGAACUCCGAUCCAGCCGAGCUUUGAGGGAGAGUUUCGUCAGCACGACGGCGUGGUGAUGAUGAUGAUGUUCUACCGACGCAGGGCUUCGCCUAAGCACCGCUACGAUAUUAUCGAGGUGGAUUCUGGUGGAGGGGGGCACCGCGCACGGCUAAGAGAUCAAUGAUCAAUUGUUGUCCCUCCAAGGGGUGCCCCCCUCCCCGUAUAUAAAGGAGUGGAGGAGGGGGAGGGCCGGCCCUCUCUAUGGCGCGCCCUAGGAGGAGUCCUACUCCCACCGGGAGUAGGAUUCCCCCCUUCCAAGUAGUAGGAGUAGGAGUCAAGGAAAGAGGAGAGAGAAGAGAAGGAAGGAGGGGGCGCAGCCCCUCCCCCUAGUCCAAUUCGGACUAGGCCUUGGGGGGCGCGCAGCCUCUCCUCUCUCUUUCCCCUAAAGCCCAAUAAGGCCCAUAUACUCCCCGGCGAAUUCCCGUAACUCUCCGGUACUCCGAAAAAUACCCGAAUCACUCGGAACCUUUCCUAUGUCUGAAUAUAGUCGUCCAAUAUAUCAAUCUUUACGUCUCGACCAUUUCGAGACUCCUCGUCAUGUCCCCGAUCUCACCCGGGACUCCGAACUACCUUCGGUAUAUCAAAACACAUAAACUCAUAAUAUAACCGUCAUCGAACUUUAAGCGUGCGGACCCUACGGGUUCGAGAACAAUGUAGACAUGACCGAGACACGUCUCCGGUCAAUAACCAAUAGCGGAACCUGGAUGCUCAUAUUGGCUCCCACAUAUUCUAUGAAGAUCUUUAUCGAUCAAACCGCAUAACAACAUACGUUGUUCCCUUUGUCAUCGGUAUGUUACUUGCCCGAGAUUCGAUCGUUGGUAUCUCAAUACCUAGUUCAAUCUCGUUACCGGCAAGUCUCUUUACUCGUUUUGUAAUACACCAUCCCGCAACUAACUCAUUAGUUACAAUGCUUGCAAGGCUUAUAGUGAUGUGCAUUACCGAGUGGGCCCAGAGAUACCUCUCCGACAAUCGGAGUGACAAAUCCUAAUCUCGAAAUACGCCAACCCAACAAGUACCUUCGGAGACACCUGUAGAGCACCUUUAUAAUCACCCAGUUACGUUUUGACGUUUGGUAGCACACAAAGUGUUCCUCCGGUAAACGGGAGUUGCAUAAUCUCAUAGUCAUAGGAAUAUGUAUAAGUCAUGAAGAAAGCAAUAGCAACAUACUAAACGAUCGAGUGCUAAGCUAACGGAAUGGGUCAAGUCAAUCACAUCAUUCUCCUAAUGAUGUGAUCCCAUUAAUCAAAUGACAACUCAUGUCUAUGGUUAGAAACUUUAUCAUCUUUGAUUAAUGAGCUAGUCAAGUAGAGGCAUACUAGUGACACUAUAUUUGUCUAUGUAUUCACACAUGUAUUAUGUUUCCGGUUAAUACAAUUCUAGCAUGAAUAAUAAACAUUUAUCAUGAAAUAACGAAAUAAAUAAUAACUUUAUUAUUGCCUCUAGGGCAUAUUUCCUUCAGAAGGAGACCUGUUUCCUCACUCCCGUGAGCUUCUUGUACUCCUCGCCAAGCAGCGUUGUGAGCUAGCUAAGGAGAGGGUUCAUCAUUCUGGUCCUCGCACUUGCUGCCAUCCCGAUUGAGGAGGCUGGUGAGCUAGCUAUUUCUGUGUCGCAAGGCAAGUAAGCUGGGCUGGCAAAGAAAAGCUUAGUGUGGGAUGGUAUUAUCUAUACUCGGAGCUACCCCUACUAUAGGCUUAAAAAUUGUUUAACUGAUAUCAGUACUUCUAUAGAUUCAUGCCAAGAUUUGAAUACUCUAACCAUGCAUUGGAAAGCAUAUCUAAGCCAUUGGGUUCAAGUGUAUAACUUUUUCUUUUUCUUUUGAGUGGACCUCGUACGUUCUCGUGGCCAAAUGUAUAACAUGAUGCCAUAGCAGCAUAUGACACAAAGCGAGACCCUUUGCAUAGGAAUCUUAGCUAUUUUACAAAACAAAAUCAAGAACAACAACAACAAUAUGGAUGCGCUGAUUGCGGUGCCUGGCGCGAGUGCCUUUGUCAUGAAGGUACUCGAGGCCUGAUGAUUUUCAUCAUGAUGGAAGAUGCUGAACCUUCUCGACCAAACGUUGAAGGCUUUCCAAUAUGGUUGGAAUGAUUUUUUUGAGGGGGUGGGGGUGGGGGGUCCUUACAAAAACACCCUUACAGAAAUCGAGAAAUUCAUCUUACAUCCACCGACGCCGCCUCUGGCCUGAAGCAAACUUGUUGAAACCCGAGAGCUUCUAGAAACAGUGGCCAGAGCAAACCAAAAGAUGCUGGCGACCGUGUUUUCCGGAGAAAAAAUGUCGUGGAUUUAUUUCAGGCUCUCCGGCGUUAUUUUCAUUUUUUCAGUGGUUUGGCGUGCCUGCCAACUAUGAGAUGCGUAUAACGACUUUAUCAAUAUCAUGAUCUGCCAACUCAAUCUUUCUGAAGUACUCAUAGAGAUAGGGUUGUGUGCGCAUGUUCAUAAGGAUGAGUGUGUGUGCGUGUUGUGACCAGGCCGGUAUUGUGUUGUAAAGAUAAGAAUUCUUUAAGUACAAAGAAGGAGAAAAUCACUCCGUGAGAGAAGGGAGAGAAACUCCUUUCUUUUAACCUAUGAGAGGAAAAACUUAUUUAUAUUUUUUGAGGGGUAUAAAGCCAACUUUAAUUGAUCAAACGCCGCAGAACGUGGAAUACUUCUAUGAUCAUGGGGUUGACCUUGCUACACGUGGCGCCCCCAACCUAACGAAUGCGAAAGUUUGGCUAGACUAUGUGAUUUAUUGUUCAAAUCACAACCUUCGAAUAUAAUUUACAAUUAAAAAUUGAUGCUUGCAGUUGUAUCUCGCUCAUAAUGGGACCGUAACGUCCUUGAAUUUCCCUUGCUGAUAUGUCCCACUAUUUGCUUUGAAUCAGAAGCAACAAUAGUCGUUGAAGAAGAAGAAAAUAUUCCGCUAUGAAUAAGGCCUCCCUACAAUUGACCGCCUCGAGUGUUGUCAAACUGUUCUCUAAUCUUAUCAUACACUUGUUUGGCAAGUGUAGUUUUAUCCAACCCUCCUGAACCCAAGAUGAAAACCACUUAGUUUCUUCUGUGAAUCUGUCAACCAACUGACAAGCUCUUCUCUCGGGCCAUCAAUACUGAUGAGACCUACCUGCUUGAAGAUCGCUGACACCCGGGGAUCUGCAACCACAUUGCCAUGACUCGAAUUGAUGCAAUUAUCAAUUGUACCGCUCACGCCGAGCAUUUGCCUCCACCACAAGAACCUUGAGCUCCUUGUACCGGUUGGCAAUCUGAUGACGCCUCCCCAACCUCUUGAGACGUUGAGACAUCUUCCUGACAAAAAUUUUCUUUACAUGGGCACCCUCAAUGCGAUGAAUGAAGUCAUUGAUGCAAUUCUCCACAUCAUAGGACAUCUCCCUGACAUGGUCCCUCCAGUCCUUGGCCGAGGGAUUGAGCUCAUCCAUUAGCUCCAUCAUGUCAAGGAGAGCUUUCAUGGCGCUGAGCGCAUCCUUGAGGAAGGAGACUUGCUUCCUCACUCCCGUGAGCUUCUUGUACUCCUCGCCAAGCAGCGUUGUGAGCUUGCUGAGGAGAGGGUUCAUCACUCUGGUCGUCACACUCGCUUCCAACCCGAUUGAGGAGGCUGGUGAGCUAGCUAUUUCUGUAUCACAAGGCAAGUAAGCUAGGCUGGUAAAGAAAAGCUUAGUGUGCGAUGGUACUAUCUAUACUGGGAGCUUCCCCUACUAUAGACUUUCAAAAAUUGUUUAACUGAUACCAGUACUUCUAUAGAUCCAUGCCAAGAUUUGAAUACUCUAACCAUGCAUUGGGAAGCAUAUCUAAGCUAUUGGGUUCAAGCGUAUAACUUCUUCUUUUGAUUUUGUGUGGACCUUGUACGUUCUCGUGGCCAAAUGUACAACAUGAUGCCAUAUCAGCACAUGGCACAAAGCAAGACCCUUUGCAUAGGAAUCUUAGCUAUUUUACGAAGCACCUGUCCGUAUUUUGUUGUAAAGAUAAGAAUUCUUGAAGUACAAAGAAGGAGAAAAUCACUCCGUGAGAGAAGGGAGAGAAACUCCGUUUUUUAACCUGUGAGAGGAGAAACUUACUAAUAUUUUUUGAGGGGUAUAAAGCCAAGUUUAAUUGAUCAAACGCCGCAGAGCGUGGAAUACUUCUCUGAUCAUGGGGUUGAUCUUGCUACACAUGGCGCCCCCAACCCAACGAAUGCGAAAGUUUGGCUAGACUAUGUGCUUUAUUGUUCAAAUCACGACCUUCGAAUAUAAUUUACAAUUAAAAAUUGAUGCUCGCAGUGGUAUCUCACUCAAAAUGGGACCGUAACGUCCUUAAUUUCACUUGCUGAUAUCUCUCCCACCACUUGCUUUGAAUCACAAGCAACAAUGAGUCGUGGAAGAAGAAGAAAAUAUUCCGCUAUGAAUAAGGCCUCCCUACAAUUGACCGCCUUGAGUUUUUUUUGAGACAAACUGCAAAGCUUUAUUACGUCGUCACAAUGUUUACAGGGACGAAAACAAGAUCGUUGGGCUGGUCUAACCAAACAUGGCGGCCAACCCCGAGGGAUAAAGCGUGCUUUGCUAGUUUGUGAGCCUCGAUAUUCGAGCUCCUAAAUUCAUGAAGUAUAUUACAAGCCUCAAAUUCAGACCUAUGUUGUAUGAUUUCAUGUGCAAUUGCCCCGUAGCUUCCUUUGUUGUGCUGUUGAAUGUCGUCGACUGCCACUUUACAAUCCGAAGCAACAUGUACCCUCCUGACAUAUAUGUCAUCUGCCAAUGCCAAAGCCUCCCUGAUUGCGAGCAUCUCCAAGGUUCCGGGGUCUGAGAGAUGGGAGAAAACCACCGCCGAAGCUCCCAAGAAGGCUCCGUCUUGGCCUCUACAGAUUGCUCCCGCUGCACCCCGCGCCCGGCCUACUGCAGCAUCUACAUUGAUUUUGACCAACCCCAAUGGCGGUGCAAUCCAGUUAUUAAUUCGAGGCUGUGGCACCCUAACCCCAGCGACAUUCGGCUUCUGGAUAGCCUUGAGAUCUGCUAUGUAAGAAUUUAUAAACCCAUUGAUGGCAUAAGGUGUCUGAAAGAUAUCCUCGUGUAUUGCCUUCCUUCGGGCGCCCUAUAGUGCCCAUAGGGUGACGACGAAGACUAGGAAAUCAUCUUGGUUGAGCGCUUCGUGCAUGACGAACAACCAUCUUUUUGCGUUUUCCUCAAUGCAUGUGCUCAUCUUGUCAAGGAUCGCCUCUGAAGACAGCGCCCAGGUGCUCCUGGAGACCGAGCAAUCCACAAGGGCAUGGCGCCAGGUGUCAACAGCCCCACACAGACAGCAAGCUCGUGAGGAUGACAUAUUUCGAUGGUUGAGUAGCGCUGCUGUGGGGACAGAAUGCUUGGCGAGUCUCCAUAAGAAGAAUUUCAGCUUUGAGGGAACCUUGAUCCGCCACAGUUCGGUCCAACCCUGGUUAGCACCAAUGGAGCCGGAAGAGGAUCCAUCUUCAUACAACCAUGCCUCGCGACUUAGCUUCGUUCGCUGGAUCAUCCGGUAUGCCGAUCGUACGGUAAACAUGCCCUUCCUCUCCUCGGAACAAGCCCAAAAAUCGUCAGUCUGGCGUGUACAAAGGGGUAUUUGCAAUAUUGCUGCUGCUUCGAUUGGUAUAAACACCGUCCGGACUAGAUCCUCCUUCCAGGAUGAUGAAGUAUGGUCUAUCAACUCAGCCACUGUAGUUGGUGGAUUCUGCACUAGAGAGGUGACCGGCUUCUUCAUGUUUGGCCUCGGCAACCAAUUAUCCUCCCAUAUAUUUGUCGAUUCACCGUCUCCGAUUCUACGCACCAGCCCCUGAACCAUGAUAUCCCGACCGUCCAAAAUAGCCCGCCAAAUCUGCGAGGGAUGAGACCCUAGUGUUGCGCCAAAUAUGUCCGAGUUAGGGUAAUAUACUGCUUUCAGGAUCCUCGCACUCAGAGACAGUGGGUUUUGCAACAUGCGCCAGGACUGCCGUGCUAGGAGGGCCAAGUUAAACAUCUCCAUAUCCCGAAAGCCAAGACCUCCAAGAUGCUUUGGCAGGGUCACCACGUCCCACGCCACCCAACUCGGUUUUCGUUUCCCAUGCUUGCUUCCCCACCAGAAUUGUCUGAUCAGCGAAGUAAUGCUUUCACAUAGACCCCGUGGCAGCCGGAAACAUGCCAUCGAAUAUACUGGAAUUGCUUGAGCCACCGCUUUAAUCAGUACCUCUUUCCCUGCUGAAGAUAAUAGCUUUUCCAUCCAUCCCUUAACCUUUUCCCAGACUCGGUCCCUCAAAUAUUUGAAGGUCCCGUUCUUCGAGUGACCGACCUCCGUUGGCAUUCCCAGAUACCUGUCACUGAGGGACUCGUUGUGCACAUUCAGAACAUUUUUCAUAUCAUCUCUUACCACUUGUGGGCAUCCUCUGCUGAAGAAAAUCGAAGACUUAUCAUGAUUUAUCCUCUGACCCGAAGCCAAGCAGUACGUUUCAAGUAGGUUUGAUACCGCUACUGCCCCCUCAUUCCCUGACUUAAAAAGCAGCAGGUUGUCAUCUGCGAAAAGAAGAUGGUUAACGGUCGGGGCCGUGGGUGCCACCUUUAGUCCAACAAUAUUUGAUGACGGAGAACUGGUUUUCAGGAGGCACGAAAGGCCCUCCGCUACAAUUAAGAAGAGAUAGGGGGAUAUCGGAUCUCCCUGCCUUAUACCUCUCCUCGGCAUAAACUGAUCAAGCCUUUCACCAAUUAAAAGCACUGAGAANNNNNNNNNNNNNNNNNNNNNNNNNNNNNNNNNNNNNNNNNNNNNNNNNNNNNNNNNNNNNNNNNNNNNNNNNNNNNNNNNNNNNNNNNNNNNNNNNNNNNNNNNNNNNNNNNNNNNNNNNNNNNNNNNNNNNNNNNNNNNNNNNNNNNNNNNNNNNNNNNNNNNNNNNNNNNNCAAAACCGAGUUUUCCCAUGAUUGCUUCCAAAUAGUCCCAUUCCAGCCUGUCAUAUGCUUUCAUCAUAUCAAGCUUAAGUGCACAAUAACUGUUAGCCGUAGCUUUGCUCCGCUUCAUAAAAUGAAGACAUUCAUAUGCACUGAUAAUGUUAUCCGUUAUGAGUCUGCCCGGUACGAAGGCCGAUUGCUCCUCAGAUAUGAUAUCCGGUAGAAUUUGCUUGAGCCUGUUUGCAAUGACUUUGGAGGCAAUUUUGUAUAGUACAUUACACAGGCUAAUAGGCCUAAAUUGGGACAAAACAGUGGGGUUUGUUACCUUGGGAAUCAGAACAAGGAUGGUGUCAUAUGCACUCCGAGCUCUCCUCCCCCCUCACAAUUCUCAACACUGCCUCAGUCACCUCUGUACCACAAAGCUCCCAGUGUCGCUGAUAAAAAUGUGCCGGAAAACCAUCCGGUCCGGGCGCCUUGGUCGGGAACAUCUGAAACAAGGCUGCCUUGACCUCCUCGUUUGCGUAUGGUGCACACAACAACUCAUUCGUCUCCGAUGUUACUUUCAUUGGGCCGCUGUCUAGGACAGUCUCCAUGUUGCUUACACCAUGAAUCACCAAGGCCGAGCUCCCAAUUCGAAGAGGUAAACCCUAUGGGGUGAAAAAAUGGGUCCAAUUAGAGCCCAGUGCUGAACCGAACGACAAGAACCGAAAAUGGCAGCCCAUUCUCACCGGCCCCUAUUUCUUUCCUUCCCCACACACCACACAAAAAUACCUCCGCCGCCGCCGCCGUCACUGCCGCCAGCGGCCGCAGCCGCGAUGCUCCGCCUCCGAGAGCGCAUCGUUUCCCAUCUCCUCUCUUUCUCCUCCACCUCUGGCCCGGCCAUCUCCCCUCUCCACCGGCUCCUCUCCGCAUCGGCAGCCGCCGGCCCCAUUUCCCCGAACCCCAGUGGAUUCGCCGUCGAGGACUACCUCGUCGACACCUGCGGCCUCACCCGCCCCCAAGCCAUCAAGGCCUCCAUGAAGCUCUCCCACCUCAAGACCCCCGCCAAACCCAACGCCGUCCUCGCCUUCCUCUCCGGCCUCGGCCUCUCCGGCGCCGACGUCGCCCCGGUUGUCGCCAAGGACCCGCAGCUCCUAUGCGCCAAAGUGGACAAAACCCUGGCUCCGGUGGUCGAUGGGCUCACCGGCCUCGGCCUGUCGCGUUCCGACAUCGCCCGCCUCGUCUUCCUCACCCCCGGCGGCUUCCGCCGUAGAGCCAUAGUCUCCAGGCUGCAGUACUACCUGCCCCUCUUCGGCUCAUUCGACAACUUACUCCGGCUGCUCAAGUGCGACUCCAACCUUCUCUCAAUCGACCUUGACAAGGUGGUCAAACCCAAUGUCGCGUUCCUGAGGGAGUGCGGGCUAGGUGAUUGUGAUAUUGCCAAGCUGUGUAUCCGUGUGCCGAGGUUGCUCACCACCAACCCGGAGCGCGUCGGGGCGAUGGUCGCAUGUGCUGAAACAUUAGGUGUGCCCCGUGGCUCUGGGAUGCUCAGGAAAGCGCUGCAGGCUGUCGCGUUUCUCAGCGAGGAGAAGAUUGCCGCCAAAGUGGACUACUUGAAGAAUACGUUCAGGUGGUCUGAUGCCGAAGCUUGCGUUGCUGUGCGCAAGUAUCCGAGUGUGUUGAGGAAGUCAAAGGAAUCUCUGAAGCGCAGGUCUGAGUUCCUGGUCUCUGAGGUGGGACUGGAACCCGUGUCCAUUGCUCAUCAACCGGUAGUUCUCAGUCUUAGCUUGGAGGGCCGGCUCAGACCCCGGUACUAUGUUAUAAAGUUUCUCAAGGAAAAUGGACUGCUACAUCGUGACCCGAGCUUCUUUACUGCGGUCAAGAUCACUGAGAAGGUAUUUGUGGAGAAACUCAUAUCCCCUCACAAGGAAGCUGCACCACACCUCGCUGAAGACUAUGCAACAGCUUGCAAAGGGGAAGCGCCAACUAAUUUCAUAUUUAGAUGGACCAGGAACAGGCUAUGAAAAUCCGUAACCUGUGUAUGGCGCAAGAAAGUUUUCACUCUGUGUAGUAAGUUGGUAACUCCUGCCUUGGUGUUUAGGCCUAACUGGAUGUUCACUAUCUUUUCUAGUGUGUUUGCUACUUGCCAGUUUGCUCAUUGCUAACUCUUGAUGUAACUAGUGAUAAAUUGAUUUCUGAACCCUGAUAGGCUGUUGUUGUCAUUCCUUAGAGAAGAUCCUUCAAAAUAUCAGUCUGGUCUGCUUUUAUGGCAAUUUUUAUCUAGCAUGUUC